rnacentral:lncRNA from 1 species
UCCGGCGAGCAAUCGCCAGUGACCUGAGGCCCUAUCUCGCCCACCAACGCCACGGAAAGUUUGCACGCGCACCGGCGAUCAUCCUCGACCACACCAUACGCACAGAACGACGAUGGAGGAGCGGGACCACGGCGGCGCCAUCUCUUAUCCCUCCUCUCUCGGCUCCGAUCUCUCUCUCUCGCUUGCUGCGCCCUAGGAUACACUGGGUAUUGUCACGAGUUGGUGGAGGGGGCUGCUCCAGGGUUCUCCAUAUAUACCCAUGGUCCAUGGGCGAAUCCUUCAGUUACGAUUCGAUCGGUAGAGAAGCUUGCAGACUCCGUUCAUAACGAACACGCGGAGGAUACGAGGUCGACGGCCGACCCGACAGCAUGGCCCCACAUGGCGGUGGUUGAACGACACAUGGCGCUGGCCGGUGGUCCCCAUGAGUCAAUCUCACACGGUGAGAUCGAGCGCUUCGCGGGACGCGCUCCUGAGGUUGGUACACGGCGUGGAGCGAGGCUGAGCAGCAGGGACCACAGGUCAGUGGCCAAAUAAACGCGCGCGCAAGGUUGGCUGGGCCAGGAGGCUGAAGGGGAAAUGGUGUUGGGCUGGCGACGGUUUCGGCCCAGGCUAAGGAGAGCUUCUCUAUUCUUUUUUUUUUUUCUAUUUCUUUGUUUUCUCUUUCCAUUUUGGUUUACAAAUUUUCAAUUUCGAAUUUAAGUCAAAGUCUCACAUCAAAUUAAAUGCAUCAAUCAAAAGUAAAACUCCAGCAUGGAUGCAAGGUAAAUUUUAUUAUUUACUUUAUUUAUUAGAGUAAAUGCUUCAAUUUAUGCAAGGCACACAUUAUUUACUAUAAGAGAAAUAAUUCCUUAUCCUCUAUAUUUAUUCAUAGAAUUUUGGGUAUUACAAAUCCUACCCCCCUUAAAAAUAAUCUCGUCCUCGAGAUUACUAAGAAAAUGGAUGCAGUUAGUUCGGUUUGCUUUUUUUUAUGCUUUUAGUUUCUAAUUGGUUCUAAUACCAUUUUUUUGUUCAAAGUCUUUAGUGGGUAUCUUCUAUGUCUGACCACCAAAGAGGCAGGAAGAGAUGGUUAGAGCAAGGGUAGGUUGGGGUAAGAAAGGUUUAGGCAAAGAAAGACUACAUUCCAGAUGAUGGAUCUUGACUUGGCUGAAGAUCUGGUCUGACUCUUAUCCUUCGUUGACGAGGUUGGUCUUCUCUUCUCGGGUCUUGGUGUCUCCAUCCGAGCUAGGGACAUAUGGCUAAGAUAUCUGUGAGUAGGAUAGACUACAUUAAGUAGGUCGAGAUCUGGUUUGAUGUCAGGUUGGAAUGGAUGGUCAUCAUGAACAUGUUGGUUAGGUCGUUUGUUCAUGGCCGAGUUGGUCUAAGGCACCAAUUUAGGUUUAAGUGAAUUAGGCGAGAAAAGAGUUUCUAGGUGUAGAUUUUAAUCUAUUAACCAAUUUGGGUUAAUUCGCUCUACCCUUUAGAUCGGUGCAAGAAAUAUGAGCCAAUUAGACUAGGUCUUAUUAGAUUAGAUCUGAUUAGUUUUGAUUAGAUCAGACUAGUAUUAGGCAAGAUUAGAUUUAUCCACAUUAGUUUAGACUAUAUUACAUUAGGUUUAGAUGGGAUCUAGAUUAGAAUGGAUUAGGUCAUGGUUGUUACUCUAGGGUAGGAUAAGUAUGCUUAUCAGGAGAAGAUGAAUACAUUAGGAUAAGAUAGAAUCUUUUUAAGAUGAGAUGAACCUAUUAAGCUAGAUAUAUAUUUUAAUGGGGGAUAAUCUAGGUUGUCUAGUUAUCUUAUAAACAUAUUUUAUGCCUAUAUACGCAGAUGCAGUUGCGGACAUUACUCCACAACUCAUCUCACUCAAUCAAAGAACCAAAUCAAAGCAUUUAGCAUAAUGACAAGCAUUCAAGCGCAUAAAUAACUAUAAAAAUAGUUUUUUUUAAUUCCUAGGAUUAGGUGUCCUAUUCCUAAGGAUCACUUUAGGUAUAGGAUUCCAAGGUGUGAAAUCCUUUUUGUCUUUAGAGUGGAAAAGGUAAGAGUAGUCAGAGUAAAGCAGCAAUAGAUGAGAAAAGAUCAAGGAAAGUUUAGAAAGAAUCGGAGUAAAGGUAAGUAGGUAAAGGUUUUGUCCAGGUCUAUCUAGGUUACGUCCUACAGUCAAUAUUGCUCCGAUACCACUUCUGUCACACCCGGAUUUAAGGGCAAACCCGGGCACGUCUCAGAUGUGUGCUAGGAUCAAGUCUCACACAUAUGAUUACUCAUGGUACAGAAAUCAAUGUCAUAUCUUUAUUAAAUAAUCGGAGUUUCUUUACAAAAUAACUAAAUAAGAUACACCACAUGUUAACGACGAUCCUCCACACCAACAUAGUUGACUGGGAGACGAUGGCCUAGACCUCUCCGAACUCAUCUUCAUCAUGAUCCUCCUCUUCUGGAUGCACCUGUUCUUAACCUGGUGUGAUUAUAGCAAGGGUGAGCUCCCAUACGGUCAUCGCUCAGCAAGUGUGGGGAAUAAUGUGUAUGAGCUCACUUACGGUGGGGGCUCAUGUGUAGUGUAAGGCUGAUCAACAAAAAAUGGUUAAGGCUGAGCAUUGCUUUUAAUAAGUUGGUCAAAAUUUUAUUAGCGGUUACCAAGUAUAAGUGUAUACCAACCCAAUUAAAUAAUUGAUCAUAAUGAAUAAUAAAUCCCACAAUGCAAUGCAUGACAUGUUAAGUUUAAUUCUAUAAGUUAAUCAUGCGAGAGUCCUGAGCCGCUCUUGACCGUGAGCACGGCUGAUAUACCAGUUUUACACUCUGCAGAGGUUGCGCAUCUUUACCCACAAGACGUGUUUCCCGUGUAGCCAGGGUUAGCUAGACCCUUAGACACUUCUAAGGUGAAUGGCUAGGGAUCCACUGCGAGGCCUUUACAAAGUUCCACUAGCAUGAGAAAACCCGAUACGGUUUCAGGACGAAGGAAGCAUAGCGCCUUGUUCCACGGUCUGUAACCCCAUCGCAGUAAUUACAGCCAGCACUAUACUCUGCAGCGACGCCUCCCCGCUUGCCCCUUUCGGGAAAGGAUUACCCACACUAGCUUUCCUAAUUAAUUAGCCAAAGGCAUCCCAUUAAACCCUUGUGGUAGCACUGUUUUCUCAGGUUAAGCUCCAUGUUCCAAUUAAACAUUGUGAUCUUAUUAUGUAUAAUAAUAAAUAAUCCAGCAUUAUAUCAUAAUGAAACAUGAUCAUAAUUCAUAAGUAUUAUUAAUCCCAAAACCAGGUAGAGCAAUAGCAAGACUACCCAAUAAUUCAUUUGUAUGCAAGGUGUAGGGUAAACAAAACUAGGUAACCUAUUAGGUCCGAUCAACUUAACCUAACAGUGCAGCAGUGAGAAUAGAUUCAUAAAUAUUAUUAGGUCAAAGAAUGUGAUCAAGGACACAACUUGCCUUUUUGGUGCAACUCCAGGAACUUCUCCAAUUUGAUCUUCGGGCUCCUCGUAACCUCGCUUCUAUUCGCAGCAAAACAUACAUAUAGGCAAACAAUGAAUAAAAAUAACAUUACACCAAACAUGUAAACAAACUGCGUAGGAAUAUUCUACGCGUCGCUACAAGAUCGUAGGUUUAAGAACCACUAAAAACGGAAUUAAAACGAAUAAGAUAUGAAUUUUCUAAGAUUCUGGAAUUAUUUUUGUACUAGAAAUUCAUUUUAGAUUUAAUUUCUGUAAUUUUCAAAUCCUGUGGAUAGCGGGUAUCAUUUUUAAAGAGUUCGGGGUUAAUUCCAAAAGAAUCAGGACCUAACCGUAAAUACUUUUGCAUACUACUGGACUGCGGGUUUAUUCCUGAGAAACUAAGGGUCUCUUAUGCAAAACGCCACAACCGAAAGGGGUAUUAGCGCACGCGAGCCAUCCGAUCCUGAAACGGCGUCCAAGAUUAGAUUCGAUACCCGUAUGAACCGGUACAAAAUGGAGACCACCGGAUCACAGAUCCACGGCUACUGAGACGCCCAUGUCCAGAUCAAUCUCGAGCCGCACGAUACGUGCUCGACGGCUCGGAUUUUAAGUUCCGAAAGGGUAUCGGCCGGAUCUAAUCCAAACCGCUUGUUAGCCGAUCAACAGCCACGACCGUCCUCCCUCAUCCAAGCUCCCCCAGGCGGUGGCGCUGGCUCUCCCGCGGCGGCGCUAUUGUCGGCGAGGCAGCGCCCCGGCACCCCAGUGCUUCUCUAGCUACACCGAAUGGCUCUACUCGAGGUAUAGGACAAGGCAAACAAGAGAGGGGAGUCUCACCGAGGGUGGCGGUGGACGCAGUGCUGUCCACGGUGCGACGCGGAUCUUCCGUUGAGUUUGUAUUCUGGCGAGCAAUCGCCAGUGACCUGAGGCCCUAUCUCGCCCCCCAACGCCACGGAAAAUUUGCACGUGCACCGGCGAUCAUCCUCGACCACACCAUACGCACAGAGCGACGAUGGAGGAGCGGGACCACGGCGGCGCCAUCUCUUCUCCCUCCUCUCUCGGCUCUGAUCUCUCUCUCUCUCGCUUGCUGCGCCCUGGGAUACACUGGGUAUUGUCAUGAGUUGGCGGAGGGGCUGCUCCAGGGUUCUCCAUAUAUACCUGAGAGCACCUAGAGGGGGGGGGGUGAAUAGGUGAUCCUGUAGAAAAGCUCUAAGCAAAACAAACUUGGUCCAAAUAUUGAUUAGUGAAAUCUAAAACCAAGUUCAAAUGAGAAGAGUGAGAGGAGAAAGAUGACUUCUUCACUUAAUUGCUCUCACAAGGUGAGUAUUAAACUUAGAGCAAUAUUAAAGUGAAGUAAAGAGCUAGGAAGAAAAAAUAAUCGCAAUAAAGUAAAUAGACAAAGACACAAAGCGAUUUAUCCCGUGGUUCGGCCAAUGCCUACAUCCACGUUGUGGUGACCUCCUUUGGUCAAGGGUUGCACUCAACCCCUCUCAAGUGAUCCAAAGAUCAAACUUGAGUACCACCGUUGUCUUCCUUAUAUCAAAAUCCCAGUUGUGAGGAAUCUCCACAAAUUGGAGUCUCUCACGCCUUACACAAGAUGAUCUCAACAAAAUCAGAGUAAGGAGGGAGUAGAGAUGCACACAAGAGCACAAUUGCAGCAACACCACGCACACAAGCAAAGAAGAGAGCGCACGAAUGAAAAACGACAGAGUCACAGCUCAAAACGCGCUCAAAUCUCUCUCUAAUGAAUCAAAGACAUGGUUGCGGAGUCUCGAAGUUGUAGUGUGCUCAAAGUAUGCUUAUGUGUCUGGUAGAGGCGCCUAGGGGCCUCUUUUAUAGCCCCAAGGGGCCAAGGAGCCGUUGCUCCUCCAAUUGGAAGGCCUCUGUUUGCCUUCUGCGCAGUGGUGCACCGGACAGUCCGGUGGCGCACCGGACACUGCACAGUGGCGAUCUCCUUCCAUACAGGGCCGAGCCGACCAUUGGCAGCCGAGCCCCGCCUGGCGCACCGGACAGUCCGGUGCGACCUCCUGACCGUUGGCGCCGCUGGCGCGGCCGCCACGUGGCCGCCGCAGAUUACGCGCCGACCGUUGGCGCGGGCGAGAGCCGUUGGCCGGCUGGCUCACCGGACAGUCCGGUGCACACCGGACAGUCCGGUGAAUUAUAGCCAGCGAGCCUGGCUCUUUUCCCGAGAGCAGCUAGUUCAGCCACCGAAGGCCGUGGAGAGUUGACCCAUUGACCAGGGUAGGCCACCGGACAGUCCGGUGCACACCGGACAGUCCGGUGCGCCUCAGACUGGCCCAGCCAUGGCCAUUUUGAGUCAUUCUUCUUUUCUCCAAUUUUGCUCGACUUGAGGUGUCUCCUAGCACUUAGAGGAGCAUAGUUAGCAACAAAAACAAUUGACUAAGUGCUAGAAACAUACCUUUAUCCAUUUCUCCAAAAGGAUUUGCAAUGUGCUCCUUCUUAAGACCAAAAUGCACUUUGGUCCUCCAAUUUACUUCAUUUGGAUUUGAUCACUUCAAUUUGUUUUCUUUAUUCCUGUGCUUAUACUCAUAGAAGGCAUGUUAGUUCAGGGUGAUGUGUUGGGCACUUAAUCACCAAAACACUUAGAAAUGGCCCAAGGGCACAUUUCCCUUUCAAUCUCCCCCUUUUUGGUGAUUUAUGCCAACACAUCAAAAGCAACUCAAAAAAAACACUAACAUAACCAAAUGUGAGCCAGAAAGAGCAAAUUGAAGUCAGACUUAAAACCACUUGAAAUAUCACAGGAUUUGGCAUAUUUGGAUCAUUUUGCCACUACUUGGUUUAUUUUUGCAAAACAAAUUCGUUUUUCUUACUUCUAAGUCAAAUCACUUUCUUUUUGCAAAACAAACCAUUUUCAAAGACUUAGAUUUGAUCAAACACUUAAAACUCCCCCUUUUUCUCUUAAAAGCUUUCUCCCCCAAAAGAGAAUAGUUUUAUAAUUAGAGAGCUCCUCUUUGCUAUCAAGAUGAUUUUGAUCAAAUAGACAAGUUCAAAAAUACAAAAAUUUUGAAAUUCACAAAUGGCGGUUGAUCCAGUUGCUUUGGCCUUAAUUUCUCCCCCUUUGGCAUUAAGCACCAAAACGGAGAACUUAGUGGCCUCAUAACCCCAUUGCCUCACCAAAAAUUGCAAAUAAACAUCGAAAGCAAUGAGAAAACAAAAGGGCGACUUGGAACAAAAUACAUUGAUACCGUAAUGCAGUGGAAGCCUUUCUAUUUGUCCAAGUCCACAUUUUCCCUUUCAAUGCACCUUUGAGACUACAUCAACAUAACUCAACAAACACAUUAGUCUCAAAGGAUCAAGUUGUAGCAUAUCCUCCCCCUAAACAUAUGCAUCAUUUGCACAAGGACUUGUGAGGUCCGGGGAUGACAUUCUACAACUUGAGCACAAAAAUAACCAUUAAAGCUCAAAAAUAUGAUCAAAGGCAUAAAAACACAUGUAUGCUAUAGAUCAAUCCAAGUUCCGCGAAUCUAAGACAUUUAGCUCACUACGCAGCCUACAAAACCUUUUCUCAUCUAAAGGCUUGGUGAAGAUAUCGGCUAGCUGGUGGUCGGUGUUAAUAUGACAAACAUCGAUAUCUCCCCUUUGCUGGUGGUCUCUCAAAAAGUGAUGCCGGAUGUCUAUGUGCUUAGUGCGGCUGUGUUCAACGGGAUUAUCCGCCAAGCGGAUUGCACUCUCAUUAUCACAUAGGAGUGGGACUUUGCUCAGAUUAUAGCCAAAGUCCCUGAGGGUUUGCCUCAUCCAAAGUAGUUGCGCGCAACACUGACCCGCAGCAACAUACUCGGCCUCGGCGGUGGAUAGGGCAACGGAUGUUUAUUUCUUUGAGCUCCAAGACACCAGGGACCUUCCCAGAAACUGACAAGUCCCUGAUGUGCUCUUCCUAUCAACCUUGCAUCCGGCAUAGUCGGAAUCUGAAUAUCCAAUCAAGUCAAAGGUAGACCCUUUAGGAUACCAGAUCCCGAAGCAAGGCGUAUGAACUAAAUAUCUAAGAAUACGCUUCACAGCCACAAGGUGACAUUCCUUGGGGUCGGAUUGAAAUCUAGCACACAUGCAUACGCUAAGCAUUAUAUUCGGUCUACUAGCACAAAGAUAGAGCAAAGAACCUAUCAUAGACCGGUAUGCCUUUUGAUCAACGGACUUACCUCCCUUGUCGAGGUCCAAAUGUCCGUCGGUUCCCAUCGGCGUUUUAGCGGGCUUUGCGUCCUUCAUCCCAAACUUUUUGAGCAAGUCUUGCGUGUACUUCGUUUGAGAGAUGAACAUCCCGUCUUUAUGUUGCUUUACUUGAAAUCCGAGGAAGUAUUUUAAUUCUCCCAUCAUGGACAUCUCGAAUUUCUGUUGCAUCACCCUGCUAAACUCCUCACAAGACUUUUGAUUAGUAGAACCAAAUAUUAUGUCAUCGACAUAUAUUUGGCAUACAAACAAAUCACCAUUGCAAGUCUUAGUAAAAAGAGUUGGAUCAGCUUUCCCGACCUUGAAAGCAUUAGAAAUAAGGAAAUCUCUAAGGCAUUCAUACCAUGCUCUUGGUGCUUGCUUUAGCCCAUAGAGCGCCUUAGAGAGCUUGUACACAUGGUCAGGAUACCUGUCAUCCUCGAAGCCAGGGGGUUGCUCCACGUACACCUCCUCCUUGAUUGGCCCGUUGAGGAAAGCGCUCUUCACGUCCAUUUGAAACAACUUAAAAGAGUGGUGAGUAGCAUAGGCUAAUAAAAUGCGAAUAGACUCAAGCCUAGCUACAGGAGCAAAAGACUCCUCAAAAUCCAAACCUGCGACUUGGGCAUAUCCCUUUGCCACAAGUCGAGCCUUGUUUCUUGUCACCAACCCGAACUCGUCUUGUUUGUUGCGGAACACCCACUUGGUUCCCACAACGUUUUGCUUUGGACGUGGCACCAAACUCCACACUUCAUUUCUCUUGAAGUUGUUGAGCUCCUCCCGCAUGGCCAUCACCCAGUCCGGAUCCUGCAAGGCUUCUUCUACCCUGAAAGGCUCAAUAGAAGAAACAAAGGAGUAGUGCUCACAAAAGUUAGCAAUACGUGAACGAGUUGUUACUCCCUUGUUGAUGUCACCUAGGAUUUGAUCCACCAGAUGAUUCUUUUGAAUGGUGGCUCGGACUUGAGUUAGAGGUGCCUGGGGUACUUCUUCUUCCUCCUUAUCCUUUUCUUCAUGUGCUCCCCCUUGAUCCAUGCCUUCAUCUUGAGGUACCUGUUCCUCAUCUUGAGUUGGGGGUUCCACCAUGGUUGAGGAAGAAGGUUGAUCCUGUUCUUGUUGUUCCAGCGGUCGCACAUCACCUAUCGCCAUAGUCCUCAUUGCGACCGUUGGAACUUCAUUCUCAUCUACAUCAUCCAGAUCAACUUGCUCUCUUGGAGAGCCAUUAGUCUCAUCAAAUACAACAUCACUAGUGACUUCAACUAAACCCGAAGAUUUGUUGAAGACCCUAUAUGCCUUUGUAUUUGAAUCAUAACCUAGUAAAAACCCUUCUACGGCUUUGGGAGCAAACUUUGAAUGUCUACCUCUCUUUACAAGAAUGUAGCAUUUGCUCCCAAAUACACGAAAGUACGAAACAUUGGGUUUGUUACCGGUUAGGAGCUCGUAUGCCGUCUUCUUGAGGAGGCGAUGAAGGUAGAGGCGGUUUAUGGCAUGGCAAGCCGUAUUCACGGCUUCCGACCAAAACCGCUCCUGCAUCUUGUAUUCUCCCAGCAUCGUCCUUGCCAUAUCGAUGAGCGUCCGGUUCUUCCUCUCCACUACACCAUUUUGUUAUGGAGUGUAGGGAGCGGAGAACUCAUGCUUGAUGCCCUCCUCCUCAAGAUAUUCCUCUACUUGAAGGUUCUUGAAUUCUGAUCCAUUGUCGCUCCUAAUCUUCUUCACCUUGAGCUCGAACACAUUUUGAGCUCGCCUUAGGAAGCGCUUUAAAGUGCCUUGGGUUUCGGAUUUAUCCUGUAAAAAGAAUACCCAAGUGAAGCGGGAAAAGUCAUCAACAAUUACAAGACCAUACUUACUUCCCCCGAUGCUAAGGUAAGCAACGGGUCCGAAGAGAUCCAUAUGAAGAAGCUCCAGUGGUCUUGAUGUCGUCAUUACGUUCUUGCUUGGAUGACUUGUUCCUACUUGCUUCCCUGCUUGGCAUGCUGCACAAGGUCUGUCUUUCUCAAAAUAGACAUCGGUUAGUCCUAACACAUGUUCUCCCUUUAGAAGCUUAUGAAGGUUCUUCAUUCCAACAUGUGCUAGACGGCGAUGCCAGAGCCAGCCCAAGUUGGUCUUAGCAAUUAAACAUGCAUCUAGAUUGGCAUUCUCUUUAGUGAAAUCAACUAAAUAGAGCUUGCCAUCUAAUACACCUUUAAAUGCUAAUGAACCAUCACUUCUUCUAAAGACAGAUACAUCUAUAUUUGUAAAAAGACAGUUGUAGCCCAUAUGACAUAAUUGACUUACAGAAAGCAAAUUAUAACCAAGCGAUUCUACUAAAAACACAUUGGAAAUGGAAUGCUCGGUAGUAAUCGCUAUUUUACCCAAACCUUUGACUUUGCCUUGGUUCCCAUCUCCAAAGAUGAUCAUGUCUUGGGAAUCCUUGUUCUUGACGUAGGAGGUGAACAUCUUCUUCUCCCCCGUCAUGUGGUUUGUGCAUCCGCUAUCGAUGAUCCAGCUUGAGCCCCCGGAUGCAUAAACCUGCAAGGCAAUUUAGGCUUGGGAUUUAGGUACCCAACUCUUGUUGGGUCCUACAAGGUUAGUCACAAAGGUUUUUGGUACCCAAAUGCAAGUCUUACCUCUCUUGCAUUUAGGCCCCACAUUUUUAGCAUAUACUUUACCAUAUUUGCAAUGAAGCACAUAAGAGGUAUCAUAAGUAUGGUAAAGCAUGCUAGAUGUGUUCCUAGGCGCAUGAGAAAUAACAUUAAAAGCACAGCGCCUGGGUCUACUUCUACCAUGAGCAUAAGAUGAACUAGAAGAAGCAUUCAUGGCACGAGGAGCAAAAACAGCAUCAUGACGCGUAUGUAAAAUAGCAUGAUCAUUACGAACAUCAUGAUGAGCAACAUGAGAAACAUUAGAAGCAUUCUUCACAUGAGCAUAUAAAUAAGCAUGGUUCUUCUUAUCAUGCAAAGAAUGAGAACUACUAGCUAUAGGCGCUUUCCCUUUCUCCUUAAUGAAGCUGGGGGCCUUUUGGCUCUUGGUUCCCCUUUGGAAACCAAGUCCAUCCUUAAUGGAGGGAUGUCUACCAAUGGUGUAGGCAUCCCUUGCAAACUUAAUUUUAUCACAUUCAACUUUGCAAGAUUUAAGUUGAGCAUGAAGGUUGGCAAUAUCAUCAUUCAACUUAGAAAUUGUAGAAACAUGUUCAUUGCAAGCAUUAACAUCAAUAUCCUUACAUCUAUUGCAAAUUGAAACAUGCUCAAUGGAAGAAUUAGUAACACUCAACUUUUCUAUUCUAACAUUUAGAUCAACAUUUACACUCUUAAGGCUAGAAAUAGAUUCAUGGCAUGAAGACAAUUCAAAAACAAGCAUUUCAUUCUUCUUAAUUUCUAAAGCAAGAGAUUUUUCAGCAUUAACAAGUUUAUCAUGUUCAUCAUAUAGAAUGUCCUCUUGCUUUUCUAGCAACCUAUCUUUUUCAUUAAGAGUAUCAAUUAAUUCAUUGAUUUUGUCUACUUUAGAUCUAUCUAAGCCCUUAAAAAGAUCGCUAUAAUCUAAAUCAUUAUCAGAUUCCUCAUCACUAGAAGAGGUGUACUUAGGAGUGUCACGUACCUUCCUCUCCUUAGCCAUGAGGCAUGUGUGUCGCUCGUUGGGGAAGAGGGAGGACUUGUUGAAGGCGGAGGCGACAAGUCCUUCGUCGUCAGAGUCGGAAGAAGAGCAGUCUGAGUCCCAUUCUUUUCCUAGAUGCGCCUCGCCUUUCUUAUUCUUGUAGAACUUCUUCUUCUCCUUCUUUCCUUUCUUCUCUUGGUCCUAGUCAUUUUCAUUAUCGGGACAUUGUGCAAUAAAAUGACCGGACUUACCGCACUUGAAGCAUGUACGCUUGCCCCUUGAUUUGUUCUUGUUGGGGUAGUCCUUGCGUCCGUUCAAAGCGGUCUUGAAGCGCUUGAUCACAAGCGCCAUUUCCUCCUCAUUAAGGCCAGCAGCCUCAAUUUGCGCCACCUUAUCGGAGAGCGCCUCCUUGCUUGUCGUCGCCUUGAGAGCCACAGGUUGCGGCUCAUAGUGUGGAAGAGGUCCGUUGGCGAUGUCGUCGACGUACCUCGCUUCCUUUGCCAUCAUACGCCCGCUUAUGAAUUUACCAAGAAUUUCUUCGGGCGUCAUUCUCGUGUACCUGGGAUUCUCACGAAUGAGGUUUACAAGGUUAGGAUCAAUAACGGUAAAUGACCUCAACAUUAGCCGCACGAUGUCAUGAUCCGUCCAUCUUGUACUCCCAUAGCUUCGGAUCUUGUUCACCAGGGUCUUGAGCCUGUUGUACGUGUCUGUUGGCUCUUCACCCCUCUUCAUGGCGAACCUCUCCAGCUCGCCUUCCACCAACUCCAUCUUGGUGAUCAUCGUGGCGUUGUUUCCCUCAUGAGCGAUCUUGAGGGUGUCCUAUAUCUCCUUAGCAUUGUCCAAGCCACUGACUUUGUUGUAUUCAUCCCUGCAUAGAGAUGCUAGAAGCACAGUAGUAGCUUGGGCAUUUUUAUGAAUUUGCUCAUUGAUAAAAAUAGUAUUAUCACUACUAUCAAAAUGCAUUCCAUUCUCCACUAUUUCCCAAAUGCUAGGAUGAAGAGAAAAAAGAUGAUUGCGCAUUUUAUGGCUCCAAAAAGAAUAAUCUUCCCCAUCAAAAUGAGGGGGUUUGCCAAGAGGAAUAGAUAGAACAUGAGCAUUGGAGUUAUAUGGAAAACGAGAAUAAUCAAAAGACGUUUUAGAGUAGUUUGGUUUAACCGUCUUUUGCUUGAAGGAAGAGUCGUCGUCGUCGUCUUCCUUUGGUGAAGAAGAAGAGUCGUCGCUGUCAUAGUAGACUAUCUUCUUGAUGCGCCUCUUCUUCUUCCUGUCCUUCUUCUUGUUGUUUGAGCCUGAGUCGGUGGGCUUUUCACCUUUUGGCUCGUUGUCGUUGACAGUCUCCUUCUCCGUCUCCUCGGUCACCUUUCCCUUGCCUUUAGAAUCCAUCUCUUCGGGCGGUUAGUCCCUUGAUGAAGAGAACGGCUCCGAUACCAAUUGAGAGCACCUAGAGGGGGGGGGAGUGAAUAGGUGAUCCUGUAGAAAAGCUCUAAACAAAACAAACUUGGUCCAAAUAUUGAUUAGUGAAAUCUAAAACCAAGUUCGAAUGAGAAGAGUGAGAGGAGAAAGAUGACUUCUUCACUUAAUUGCUCUCACAAGGUGAGUAUUAAACUUAGAGCAAUAUUAAAGUGAAGUAAAGAGCUAGGAAGAAAAAAUAAUCACAAUAAAGUAAAUAGACAAAGACACAAAGCGAUUUAUCCCGUGGUUCGGCCAAUGCCUACAUCCACAUUGUGGUGACCUCCUUUGGUCAAGGGUUGCACUCAACCCCUCUCAAGUGAUCCAAAGAUCAAACUUGAGUACCAUCGUUGUCUUCCUUAUAUCAAAAUCCCAGUUGUGAGGAAUCUCCACAAAUUGGAGUCUCUCACGCCUUACACAAGAUGAUCUCAACAAAAUCAGAGUAAGGAGGGAGUAGAGAUGCACACAAGAGCACAAUUGCAGCAACACCACGCACACAAGCAAAGAAGAGAGCGCACGAAUGAAAAACGACAGAGUCACAGCUCAAAACGCGCUCAAAUCUCUCUCUAAUGAAUCAAAGACGUGGUUGCGGAGUCUCGAAGUUGUAGUGUGCUUAAAGUAUGCUUAUGUGUCUGGUAGAGGCGCUUAGGGGCCUCUUUUAUAGCCCCAAGGGGCCAAGGAGCCAUUGCUCCUCCAAUUGGAAGGCGUCUGUUUGCCUUCUGCGCAGUGGUGCACCGAACAGUCCGGUGGCGCACCGGACACUGCACAGUGGCGAUCUCCUUCCAUAUAGGGCCAAGCCGACCGUUGGCAGCCGAGCCCCGCCUGACGCACCGGACAGUCCGGUGGCGCACCGGACAGUCCGGUGCGACCUCCUGACCGUUGGCGCCGCUGGCGCGGCCGCCACGUGGCCGCCGCAGAUUACGCGCCGACCGUUGGCGCGGGCGAGAGCCGUUGGCCGGCUGGCUCACCGGACAGUCCGGUGAAUUAUAGCCAGCGAGCCUGGCUCUUUUCCUGAGAGCAGCUAGUUCAGCCACCGAAGGCCGUGGAGAGUUGACCCAUUGACCAGGGUAGGCCAUUGGACAGUCCGGUGCACACCGGACAGUCCGGUGCGCCUCAGACUGGCCCAGCCAUGGCCAUUUUGAGUCAUUCUUCUUUUCUCCAAUUUUGCUCGACUUGAGGUGUCUCCUAGCACUUAGAGGAGCAUAGUUAGCAACAAAAACAAUUGACUAAGUGCUAGAAACAUACCUUUAUCCAUUUCUCUAAAAGGAUUUGCAAUGUGCUCCUUCUUAAGACCAAAAUGCACUUUGGUCCUCCAAUUCACUUCAUUUGGAUUUGAUCACUUCAAUUUGUUUUCUUUAUUCCUGUGCUUAUACUCGUAGAAGGCAUGUUAGUUCAGGGCGAUGUGUUGGACUUGGACACUUAAUCACCAAAACACUUAGAAAUGGCCCAAGGGCACAUUUCCCUUUCAAUACCCGUGGUCCGUGGGCGAAUCCUUCAGUUACGAUUCGAUCGGUAGAGAAGCUUGCGGACUCCGUUCGUAACGAACACGCAGAGGAAACGAGGUCGAUGGCCGACCCGACAGCAUGGCCCCACAUGGCGGUGGUUGAACGGCACAUGGCGCUGGCCGGCGGUCCCCACGAGUCAAUCUCACACGGUGAGAUCGAGCGCUUCGCGGGACGCGCUCCUGAGGUUAGUACACGGCGUGGAGCGAGGCUGAGCAGCAGGGACCACAGGUCAGUGGCCAAAUCAACGCACGCGCAAGGUUGGCUAGGCCAGGAGGCUGAAGGGGAAAUGGUGUUGGGUUGGCGACGGUUUCGGCCCAGGCUGAGGAGAGCUUCUCUAUUCUUUUUUUUUCUAUUUCUUUGUUUUCUCUUUUCAUUUUGGUUUACAAAUUUUCAAUUUCGAAUUUAAGUCAAAGUCUCACAUCAAAUUAAAUGCAUCAAUCAAAAGUAAAACUCUAGCAUAGAUGCAAGGUAAAUUUUAUUAUUUACUUUAUUUAUUAGAGUAAAUGCUUCAAUUUAUACAAGACACACAUUAUUUACUAUAAGAGAAAUAAUUCCUUAUCCUCUAUAUUUAUUCAUAGAAUUUUGGGUAUUACACACCGCAACGUUUCCACAUAGAAAAUGAUGUGGGAGACCGAGACCAUCCGACGUGGCCAAUGUUGCGGCGCUAUUGCAUGUGGUGCUGUUGUGUUAAAUUGUGGUGCCAUGGGCAAUGGCGCCACCAGAAGGGUUAGAAAUAAAAUUUGUUUCGAGGUGGAGUUAUUAAUAAAAUAUUUUUUGAAAAAGGAUUAAAAGAUAAAAAACGUGCUCGCAGGCGCCGUUCCUGUCGCCGUCCCGGCCUCUGACCCCCACCCCCGAUGUCGUCCGCCUGUCAGCCUCCCGUCCGCGACCCGUGUGGCGGGGAGCUGCGUCGGCCGCGAAUCCCGUCCUGUGCCCUCCGCCGCUUGCCGGCCGCCGCUCCAGGCGCUGUUGCUGCGGCCACUACAGGCUUGAUUCGCCGUCGUUGCCAGCCUCCUCGCCCUGUUGAUCGUGAUUCCUGCCCCGCUGUUGUGCCCUCCGCCACUCGCCCACCUGGCCAUUCCCCUCCCCAACAUAUCAAGCAGACAAGCACGAUCCAAUGUUCCUAGCCUGUGAUGGUUUGUCUUCACAGGGCUCAAGGUGCUUGCUUAUCCUUUGUGCUUCAUGCUUCUCUAUGCGCAUGUUUGACCCUUAUUUGUUUGGCAAAGGUUAAUGCCCUGUUUGUUUAAACUUCUGUAGCUUUUGCUUCUGUAGGAAGCUCCAAAAGCCAAAAGCUUAAACAAAUAUGAUUGCUUUUCUGACAAGCAAAAGCUCCAAAAGCUGAGUUUAUACUACAAGCACAGAAGCUCCUCUGGACCAGCUCCUUGAGCUUUUGGCCGUACUGUAUCAUCCGUGUGCCUCUCGACCUAUGUGAGUCCUCUAAUAUCAAAAAUUUAGGUACUCAAACAAGUUAGCUUCUCCGACCAACAACUUCUUCAAUCAGCAGCUUCUCCAACCAGCAAGUGAUCUUCCCAGACCAGCAGCUUUUCCAAAAACUCCAGCUAAAAUCGAACAUGUUUAGUUUGUUUGCACUCCAUUUGUUUAUUUUGUUGAAUGAAAUGCAGAAAUGGAAAGAUGAUGGAAUCAGCCUCUGUGCAAAAGUUGUGAAUGUGGCUCAAGUGCAAGAAUGGUCAAAGCCAGUUGAAGGAUUUGUAUCCAGUGUGGAUCUUCGCCUUAUUCUUUUUACGGUAAUUAUCACUGCCUUUUGGUAUAGGAGCAAGAUCACGUUUUCUGAUUUGUUAGCUGUCAUCUCCAAGGUUUAGUUAGUUGAGAUUUACGUACCUUUAUAUCAUAUUUUUGUGUGAAGAGUUUGUCAAUGAUUCAUGUUAGAGCUUAUGGUUAUGGAUAUGCUCAAUGUGAUAUAUCCAAUUACAUGAUUGCAGUAGCGUUACUGAUUCAGGAAGCCGUGCAGGUUCCUCAAUUUAUUUUACCUUAUUGAGAUGAGUUUGAUACAGUUUAAGUCAAGUCAGCAUAAUACUUUUCUCCUGAUUUGCGUGGUUGAGGUUUAGGUUUUCUCAUCCUUUACCCAUUGUGCUACAUAACAUUAAUAGAAAUUCCCAUGCUUCCUGCAGCGAGAUUAUUGCCAUUAUAGAACAUGGCAGAGCUGGAUUCGACGAAAUAGAGGUGUAGGGAAGGGCUUCGACACUAUGGAGGCGUAGACGACGGCCAAGCGCUGGUAUGGACUUGAAGAACCCAUUAGCCGCUGCGUACACCGAUUAAGGUGCUUGAGGUAACGCCGUGAGGUACCUGCGAGCUCUGCCGUCGUUCUCCUCUUCUCGGCUCUCUUUCCUUCCCGAUUUGUAGUGUGGUUGUUUCCUGCCUUUGUAAAUAAGCUUGCUUACUGCCUUUGUACAAGUUUGGGAGCAUAAUGCAAUUAUGUUGAAAUCUGGCAUUUUGAAACAAAGGCAGUCUGGGAGCAAUCUGGUAGCAUUUUGAAAGGCAGUCUGGGAGCAUUUUGAAAUGUACAAACUUAUAACUGAAGAUUGCUGAAGAUAGCUGAAGGAAACUUGUACAAAGGCAAACUUAUAACUGAAGAUUGCUUAUAACUGAAGCAAUCUGGGAGCAUUUUGAAAUGUACAAGUUUGCUUACUGCAAUCUGGUAGCAUUUUGAAAUGCACCUCACGCCAGAUUGCUCCCAGUCAAUAUGCAAGCUAAUGUUCCCAGGCACCUCACGCCAGAUUGCUCCCAGUCAAUAUCCAAGCUAACAGAAACAAGCACAUAAGCUCCCAGGUAACAGAAACGAGCACAUAAGGUUUUCCGGAUGGGGAAAAACGCGGAUGAUCCAGUACGGCUGUCCGGCGAGCCACCCUGAUCCAGUACACAAAUUGAGGAAUCCGGAUGGGGAAAAACGCGGGAGACAAGGGCAGACAAUGGGAGAGAAUGGGAAGGAAGAACACAACAAAGAACUCACGGCCGACGAGUCCGACAUGUCUGCUCCCUCCUCCCGGGCGGACGGCAACGAGAUCUCGACGGCACCCUGGGGGGUGACGGCGCUGAAGACGGCAGCCUGGCCAAGGAGACUUAUUCUCACGGCGGGAGAUUAAUCAGUGUCCGCAACGGCUAAUGGGUUUUUCAUGUCCAUACCAGCGCUUCGCCGUCGUCUGCGCCUCCAAACUGUCGAAGCCCUUCCCUGCACCUCCAUUUCGUCGAAACCAACUCUGUUGUGUUCCAUAAUGGCAAUAAUCUCUCCUGCAGCAUACAACCUGUGUCGAUCUCAACCCCCGUUGGGACAUAGUCGCCUGAUACAUGGCAAUAUGGCAUAGGCAUAGGCAUAGACAUAUUUCCUCUACUUCUUUGGUUCAGGGUUAGUAAAGUGCUAUAUCUCUACAUGUAUAUGCCAUGUGAAUUGUGUCUUAGUCUUGACUUAUGUAAACCCUUUUUUUCAUGUUUUGUCUUCCUUCAUAAGGACAAUUCCUGCUGGUAUUAUUAACUUACCAUUUCAUGGAACCAACAUAGGAGAUCCUGCCACUAGUAGAAAAAAGCUCUAUGCCUGCAGUGAGCAGUAAUUUUUACAGGCGGUUUCAGUUAUCACGCGUCUGUAAGAGUAAAGUGGCAGGCCCCACUUAAUGAACCGCCUGUGGAAACCCAUUUACACAGUUCACUUAACACGACCGCCUGUGUAAAUGGGCAAUUUCUAGAGGCGGUUGAGUUAAGUGAACUGCCUAUAGAAACCAAUUUAUACAGACAGUUCACUUAAUGCAACCGCCUGUAGAAAUGGACCAUUUGCACAGGCGAUCGCGUUAAGUGAACCGCUUGUGUAAAUCAGUUUCCACAGGCGGUUCAUUGAGUGGGGACCGUCUGUGAUGGUCUAGGUAUAAAUAUCCCUUCUUCCUCCCCGAGCAGGACUGUUUUUCCCAGCCACCUUCCAUUGGAGGCCAUUUUUGGAGGUCCAGAUUUCACAAGAUACAAGGGGAGAGGUUUUCAUCUCAUUUUUUGGAAGGAGGUUGCUAAGAAAGUUUAGUUUAUGUCUCUCUUGCCUUCUUUUGUUCAUUCUUGCUCAACUGUAGUCACUUUUUGGAUCUAGGGUUUCACCAUGUGGUAGAGAGAAGAGUAGCUAGGCUAUUGUCUUCAUUUCCUCAAUUGAGGUUUCUUAAGAUGGUUAGAUAAUGUCUCUUCUCACUCCCUUUUCAUGUUACUUCUCAAUUUAGUUCAUCCAUGAUAUAGUUAGUUGUUUCCAUGGUGUAUUCCUGUGUAUUUAUGUAGAGGGAGAAAUAUAGAUGUUUUGUCAGUUUUUUUUAAUUGUGCUACUAAGCUUGGUGUCUUGAAUAUCUCUGUUUAUUUCUCAAUUUGUUUUCAUCAUCCACUAUGUAUUUAUGUUUCAUGGUGUGUUCUUGUGUAUUUAUGUAGAUGGAGGAAUAUAUUUUUUUGUUAGUUUUUUUAAUUAUGGUACUAUGGUUGUUGUCUUUAAUAUCUCCGUUUGUUUCUCAAUUUGUUUUAAUUAUUCACUAUGUAUUUAUGUUUCAUGGUGUGUUCUUGUGUAUUUAUGUAGAGGGAGGAAUAUAGUUUUUGUGUUAGUUUUUUAAUUAUGGUACUAAGGUUGUUGUCUUUAAUAUCUCCAUUUAUUUCUCAAUUUGUUUUAAUUAUCCACCAUGUAUUUAUGUUUAAUAUCUCCUUUUAUUUCUCAAUUAGUUUUAAUUUGUCAACAACCGCUAUUGUUUCUCCUAGCCACCUUCCACUGGAGGCCAUUUUUGGAGGUCCAGAUUUCACAAAAUACAAGGGGAGAGGUUUUCAUCUCAAUUUUUGGAAGGAGGUUGCUAUGACAGGUUAGUUUAUGUCUCUCUUGCCUCCUUUUGUUCAUUCUUGCUCAAUUGUAGUCAUUUUUUGGAUCUAGGGUUUCACCAUGUGUUAGAGAGAAGAGUAGCUAGCUUAUUGUCUCCAUUUCCUCAAUUGAGGUUGCUUAAGAUGGAUAGAUAAUGUCCCUCCUCACUUCAUUUUCAUGUUUACUUCUCAAUUUAGUUCAUCCAUGAUAUACUUAGUUGUUUCCAUGGUGUGUUCUUGUGUAUUUAUGUAGAGAGAGAAAUAUAGAUUUUUUGUUAGGUUAUCAAUUGUGCUACUAAGCUUGUUGUCUUGAAUAUCUCUGUUUAUUUCUCAAUUUGUUUUCAUCAUCCACUAUGUUGUUGAUUGAGGUUACUUAAUAGGUCAAAUUUCAUUCUUCUAACUUUUUUUCAGGUAAUGAUGGAGAGGUCAUUCUGGAUGUAUAACUUAUCAAGACUAGAUCCAUCAUACAUAUCCGAGGUCCGUGGGUUUAUUGAUGCCGCUAAGAACCAUGCUUGGAUAACAAAGACAAAGCACAUAUAUUGUCCAUGUAUGGACUGUAAAAAUGUGGUUGUAUUUGAAGACACAGAAUGAAUCAUUUCUCAUCUGGUCUGCCGGGGAUUUAUGAAGGAUUACAUCAUUUGGACAAAGCAUGGAGAGGGUAGCUCUGCGCCCUAUACAUCUGGAAACCCUGCGAACAUCGACGCCGAUGGUCCAGGUAUGCUUGGUGACGGAUUUCAGUUCGUACACGAGACACAACAACCUCUUCCCCAAAGCGAACAUGUAGUGCCAAAUGUCACUGAGCAUGGUUUUGCUAGAGGAAAUGAAGGCAUCAGAACUUAUGUUGUGCCAAAUGUUACGGAUGCGGAAGAUGCAGAAUUCUUGGAGGAAAUAUUGCGUCGUCAUAUAGAUCCAUCAAUGUUUUUCAUGAGAGGUAUGGAGGCCCUGAUGAAGGCAGCAAAAGAGCCUUUGUACGAUGAGUCUAAGAGUUGUACCAAAGAUUUCACGACACUGCGGUCUGUGCUGAAGUUGUUGGUGUUAAAGGCUAGAUAUGGCCUGUCUGAUGCUGGCUUCGAUGCGUUCUUGAGUAUUAUCACAGAAAUGCUUCCAAAGGAGAACAAAGUGCCUACUAACACGUACUAUGCAAAGAAGCUAAUCAGUCCGCUCACUAUGGGUGUGGAGAAGAUCCACGCGUGCAGAAAUCACUGUAUCCUAUAUCGAGGGAUGAUUAUAAAGACUUGGAGAGCUGUCCAAAGUGUGGUGCAAGUAGGUACAAGAUGAAUAAAGACUAUCGAGAGGAAGAGUAUGCUGCCUCCGUGUCUAAAGGGAAGAAACGAAAGAAGACCCAACAAAGUUCAAAACCCACGAAAUAUUAGGUUCGCACUGAGUACUGACGGAAUGAAUCCAUUUGCUGAGAGGAGCAGCAAGCACAGCACAUGGCCGGUGAUCCUCACCAUCUACAACCUUCCUCCAUGGUUGAUGCAGAAGCGAAAGUACCUUUUGCUAACCAUACUUAUUUCUAAACCUACACAACCUGGUGUGGAUAUGGAAAUAUUUUUGGAGCCCUUAAUGGAGGACAUGAAAAUAUUAUGGAAGAUGGGUGUUGAAAUGUUGGACGAGUACCGCAAAGAUUCAUUCACGCUGAGAGAAAUUAUUUUUGUUACCAUCAAUGAUUACCCUGUUCUCUUCACAUUAUUAGGUCAGUUCAAGGGAAAGGUUGGUUGCGUAGUAUGCAUUGAUGGAACCGCUUAUGUGUCCCUUGAUGCAUCUAAGAAGAUAGUGUACAUGACACACAGACGCUUCUUAUUGAAAGGACAUAGGUACCGCCUACGAAGGAUGGAUAGGUACUUCGACAAUAAUGACGAAUUAAUUCUACUGCACCAUCAGGUAACAGUAAAGGCCAAAGAGUUUUCGAAAUAGUCAGCAACAUCAAAUUUGUUUUUGGGAAGAAGACAAAAGACGGAAAACCAAGAAAGGAUGUCAAACCAACUCCAGGGGCUACAUUCAAGAAGAAGUCCAUUUUCUUCGAGUAUCUGCCAUACUGGAAAGAGUUGGACGUACGACACGUGAUCGAUGGUAUGCACGUUCAGAAGAACGUGUUUGAAAGCCUAAUUGGCACCCUGCUAGACAUAAAGAGCAAAACAAAAGAAGGACUCAAUUCACGCAUGGACUUGGUGAGAGCACCUAGAGGGGGGGGGUGAAUAGGUGAUCCUGUAAAAAUAGCUCUAAACAAAACAAACUUGGUCCAAAAAUGGAUUAGUGAAAUCUAAAACCAAGUUCGAAUGAGAAGAGAGAGAGAAGAAAGAGGACUUCUUCACUUAAUUGCUCUCACAAGGUGAGUAUUAAACUUAGAGCAAUAUUAAAGUGAAGUAAAGAGCUAGGAAGAACAAUAAUCGCGAUAAAGUAAAUAGACAAAGAGACAAAGCGAUUUAUCCCGUGGUUCGGCCAAUGCCUACAUCCACGUUGUGGUGACCUCCUUUGGUCAAGGGUUGCACUCAACCCCUCUCAAGUGAUCCAAAGAUCAAACUUGAGUACCACAGUUGUCUUCCUUAUAAUAUGAUCCCGUUUGUGAGGAAUCUCCACACGUUGGAGUCUCUCACCCUUACACAAAUGAUCACAAUCAAGUCCGGAGUAAGGAGGGGAGUAGAAACACACACAAGAGCACAAGUGCAGCAGCAAACACGCACACAAUCAAAGAAGAGAGAGCACGAAUGAAAACGACAGAGUUACAGCUCAAGAACGCGCUUCAAAUCUCUCUCUAGCAAUUCAAUAGCAUGGUUGCGGAGUCUCGGAGUUGUUGUGUGCUCAAAGUGUGCUUAGGUACCAAGUAGAGGCGCCUAGGGGUCUCUUUUAUAGCCCCAAGGGGCCAAGGAGCCGUUGCUCCUUCGUUUUGGAAGGCCUCUGGUUGCCUUCUCCGCACGGGCACACCGGACAGUCCGGUGCACACCGGACACUGUCCGGUGCCCGAUUUCCUUCCUUAAACAGCCGUGUCGACCAUUGAGCCGACCGUUGCCGCCGCUGGUCGCUGGGCUCACCGGACAGUCCGGUGCACACCGGACAGUCUGGUGCUGCCCGCCGACCGUUUGCGCAGCACACGUGGCCGCCACGUGGCCGCUGUUGAUUGCGCGCCGACUGUUGGCGCUGGCGAGAGCCGUUGGCCGCCUGGCUCACCGGACAGUCUGGUGCACACCGGACAGUCCGGUGAAUUAUAGCCAGCGCACCUGGCUCAUUUCCCGAGAGCGGCCAGUAUGACCGCUUAGCUGCCAGCCGAGCAGCCUGGCGCACCGGACACUGUCUGGUGCACACCGGACAGUCCGGUGCUGCCCAGACUAGGCCAAAUUCAGCCAAACUUUGCCAAACUUGUUUUCUUCAAUUUUGCUCGACUUGAUGAGUUACCUAACACUUAGAUGAACAUAGUUAGCAACUAAAACAAUUGACUAAGUGCUAGAUUCAUACCUUUUGUAUUUGGUUUCUCCAAUGUUUGCAAUGUGCUCCAAUUCAAGUCCAAAAUGCACUUUCUUUGUUCUACAUGGUUAAUGGCAAAAACAAAGUGCUAGAAACAUGGAUGAGGGUAUAUGCAACUUAUCCAAACACUUAAACCAUGUGUCCAUGUUGGUUUUGAACAUGUUGCACUUUUGGCCCUCCAAUUCACCACAUUUGGACUUGAUCACUUCAAUUUGCUUUCUUUAUAUCUAUGCUCACACUCAUAGAAGACAUGUUAGAUCAAAGUGAUGUGUUGGGCACUUAAUCACCAAAACACUUAGAAAUGUCCCAAGGGCACAUUUCCCUUUCAAUCUCCCCCUUUUUGGUGAUUUAUGCCAACACAUCAAAAGCAACUUAAUAUGCACUAACAUAAUCAAAUGUGAGCCAAAAAGUGCAAAUUGAAGUCAAACUAAAACCAAUUGAAUUUUCACAGGAUUUGACAUAUAUGGAUCAUUUUGCCACCACUUGGUUUGCUUUUGCAAAACAAAUUCAUUUUUCUAACAUCUAAGUCAAAUCACUUUAUUUUUGCAAAUCAAACCAUUUUCAAAGACUAGUUUUGAUCAAAAACCAAAAGCUCCCCCUUUUUCUCAUAAAAAGAUUACUCCCCCAAAACAGAAUAGCUUUGCAAUUAGAGAGCUCCACUUUGCUAUCAAGAGGGUUUUGAUCAAAUAGACAAGUUCAAAAACAAAAACUUUUGAAAUUCACAAGUGGCGAUUGAUCCAGUUGCUUUGGCCUUAUCUUUCUCCCCCUUUGGCAUGAAGCACCAAAACGGAGAAAUUAGUGGCCUUUUAACCCCAUUGCCUCACCAAAAAUUGCAAAUAAACAUCGAAAGCAAUGAGAAAACAUAGGGGCGACUUGGAACAAAAUACAUUGAUACCGUAAUGCAGCGGAAGCCUUUUUCUUUGUCCAAGUUCACAUGUUCCCUUUCAAUGCACCUUUGAGACUACAUCAUCAUAACUCAACAAACACAUUAGUCUCAAAGGGUCAAGUUGUAGCAUACCCUCCCCCUAAACAUAUGCAUCAUUUGCACAAGGACUUGUGAGGUCCGGGGAUGACAUUCUACAACUUGAGCACAAAAAUAAACAAUAAAGCUCAAAAAUAUGAUCAAAGGCAUAAAAACACAUGUAUGUUAUAGAUCAAUCCAAGUUCCGCGAAUCUAAGACAUUUAGCUCACUACGCAGCCUGCAAAACCUUUUCUCAUCUAAAGGCUUGGUGAAGAUAUCGGCUAGCUGGUGGUCGGUGCUAAUAUGGCAAACAUCGAUAUCUCCCCUUUGCUGGUGGUCUCUCAGAAAGUGAUGCCGGAUGUCUAUGUGCUUAGUGCGGCUGUGUUCAACGGGAUUAUCCGCCAAGCGGAUUGCGCACUCUCAUUAUCACAUAGGAGUGGGACUUUGCUCAGAUUGUAGCCAAAGUCCUGGAGGGUUUGCCUCAUCCAAAGUAGUUGCGCGUAACACUGGCCUGCGGCAACAUACUCGGCCUCGGCGGUGGAUAGGGCAACAGAUGUUUGUUUCUUUGAGCUCCACGACACCAGGGACCUUCCCAGAAACUAACAAGUCCCUGAUGUACUCUUCCUAUCAACCUUGCAUCUGGCAUAGUCGGAGUCUGAGUAUCCAAUUAAGUCAGAGGUUGACCCCUUAGGAUACCAGAGCCCGAGGCAGGGCGUAUGAACUAAAUGUCGAAGAAUACGCUUCACGGCCACAAGGUGACAUUCCUUGGGGUCGGAUUGAAAUCUAGCACACAUGCAUACGCUAAGCAUUAUAUCCGGUCUACUAGCACAAAGAUAAAGCAAAGAACCUAUCAUAGACCGGUAUGCCUUUUGAUCAACGGACUUACCUCCCUUGUCGAGGUCCAGAUGUCCGUCGGUUCCCAUUGGCGUCUUAGCGGGCUUUGCGUCCUUCAUCCCAAACUUCUUGAGCAAGUCUUGUGUGUACUUUGUUUGAGAGAUGAAUGUCCCGUCUUUAUGUUGCUUUACUUGAAAUCCGAGGAAGUAUGUUAAUUCUCCCAUCAUGGACAUCUCGAAUUUCUGUUGCAUCACCCUGCUAAACUCCUCACAAGACUUUUGAUUAGUAGAACCAAAUAUUAUGUCAUCGACAUAUAUUUGGCAUAUAAACAAAUCACCAUUGCAAGUCUUAGUAAAAAGAGUUGGAUCAGCUUUCUCGACCUUGAAAGCAUUAGAAAUAAGGAAAUCUUUAAGGCAUUCAUACCAUGCUCUUGGUGCUUGCUUAAGCCCAUAGAGUGCCUUAGAGAGCUUAUACAUAUGGUCGGGAUACCUGUCAUCCUCGAAGCCAGGGGGUUGCUCCAUGUACACCUCCUCCUUGAUUGGCCCGUUGAGGAAGGUGUUCUUUACGUCCAUUUGAAAUAACUUGAAAGAGUGGUGAGCAGCAUAGGCCAAUAAAAUGCGAAUAGACUCAAGCCUAGCUACAGGAGCAAAAGUCUCCUCGAAAUCCAAACCUGCGACUUGGGCAUAUCCUUUUGCCACAAGUCGAGCCUUGUUUCUUGUCACCACCCCGUACUCGUCUUGUUUGUUGCGGAACACCCACUUGAUUCCUACAACGUUUUGCUUUGGACGUGGCACCAAACUCCACACUUCAUUUCUCUUGAAGUUGUUGAGCUCUUCCUGCAUGGCCAUCACCCAGUCCGGAUCCUGCAAGGCUUCUUCUACCCUGAAAGGCUCAAUAGAAGAAACAAAAGAGUAAUGCUCACAAAAAUUAGCCAAUCAUGAACGAGUGGUUACUCCCUUGCUGAUGUCACCAAGGAUUUGAUCCACCGGAUGAUCCUUUUGAAUGUUGGUGCGGACUUGAGUUGGAAGUGCCUGUGGUACUUCUUCUUCCUCCUUAUCCUUUUCUUCAUGUGCUCCCCCUUGAUCCAUGACUUCAUCUUGAGGUACCUGUUCCUCAUCUUGAGUUGGGGGUUCCACCAUGGUUGAGGAAAAAGGUUGAUCCUGUUCUUGUUGUUCCUGCGGUCGCACAUCACCUAUCGCCAUAGUCCUCAUUGCGGCCGUUGGAACUUCAUUCUCAUCUACAUCAUCAAGAUCAACCUGCUCUCUUGGAGAGCCAUUAGUCUCAUCAAAUACAACGUCACUAGUGACUUCAACUAAACCCGAAGAUUUGUUGAAGACCCUAUAUGCCUUUGUAUUUGAAUCAUAACCUAGUAAAAACCCUUCUACGGCUUUGGGAGCAAACUUUGAAUGUCUACCUCUCUUUACAAGAAUGUAGCAUUUGCUCCCAAAUACACGAAAGUAUGAAACAUUGGGUUUGUUACCGGUUAGGAGCUCGUAUGCCGUCUUCUUGAGGAGGCGAUGAAGGUAGAGGCGGUUUAUGGCAUGGCAAGCCGUAUUCACGGCUUCCGACCAAAACCGCUCCUGCAUCUUGUAUUCUCCCAGCAUCGUCCUUGCCAUAUCGAUGAGCGUCCGGUUCUUCCUCUCCACUACACCAUUUUGUUAUGGAGUGUAGGGAGCGGAGAACUCAUGCUUGAUGCCCUCCUCCUCAAGAUAUUCCUCUACUUGAAGGUUCUUGAAUUCUGAUCCAUUGUCGCUCCUAAUCUUCUUCACCUUGAGCUCGAACACAUUUUGAGCUCGCCUUAGGAAGCGCUUUAAAGUGCCUUGGGUUUCGGAUUUAUCCUGUAAAAAGAAUACCCAAGUGAAGCGGGAAAAGUCAUCAACAAUUACAAGACCAUACUUACUUCCCCCGAUGCUAAGGUAAGCAACGGGUCCGAAGAGAUCCAUAUGAAGAAGCUCCAGUGGUCUUGAUGUUGUCAUUACGUUCUUGCUUGGAUGACUUGUUCCUACUUGCUUCCCUGCUUGGCAUGCUGCACAAGGUCUGUCUUUCUCAAAAUAGACAUCGGUUAGUCCUAACACAUGUUCUCCCUUUAGAAGCUUAUGAAGGUUCUUCAUUCCAACAUGUGCUAGACAGCGAUGCCAGAGCCAGCCCAAGUUGGUCUUAGCAAUUAAACAUGCAUCUAGAUUGGCAUUCUCUUUAGUGAAAUCAACUAAAUAGAGCUUGCCAUCUAAUACACCUUUAAAUGCUAAUGAACCAUCACUUCUUCUAAAGACAGAUACAUCUAUAUUUGUAAAAAGACAGUUGUAGCCCAUAUGACAUAAUUGACUUACAGAAAGCAAAUUAUAACCAAGCGAUUCUACUAAAAACACAUUGGAAAUGGAAUGCUCGGUAGUAAUCGCUAUUUUACCCAAACCUUUGACUUUGCCUUGGUUCCCAUCUCCAAAGAUGAUCAUGUCUUGGGAAUCCUUGUUCUUGACGUAGGAGGUGAACAUCUUCUUCUCCCCCGUCAUGUGGUUUGUGCAUCCGCUAUCGAUGAUCCAGCUUGAGCCCCCGGAUGCAUAAACCUGCAAGGCAAUUUAGGCUUGGGAUUUAGGUACCCAACUCUUGUUGGGUCCUACAAGGUUAGUCACAAAGGUUUUUGGUACCCAAAUGCAAGUCUUACCUCUCUUGCAUUUAGGCCCCACAUUUUUAGCAUAUACUUUACCAUAUUUGCAAUGAAGCACAUAAGAGGUAUCAUAAGUAUGGUAAAGCAUGCUAGAUGUGUUCCUAGGCGCAUGAGAAACAACAUUAAAAGCACAGCGCCUGGGUCUACUUCUACCAUGAGCAUAAGAUGAACUAGAAGAAGCAUUCAUGGCACGAGGAGCAAAAACAGCAUCAUGACGCGUAUGUAAAAUAGCAUGAUCAUUACGAACAUCAUGAUGAGCAACAUGAGAAACAUUAGAAGCAUUCUUCACAUGAGCAUAUAAAUAAGCAUGGUUCUUCUUAUCAUGCAAAGAAUGAGAACUACUAGCUAUAGGCGCUUUCCCUUUCUCCUUAAUGAAGCUGGGGGCCUUUUGGCUCUUGGUUCCCCUUUGGAAACCAAGUCCAUCCUUAAUGGAGGGAUGUCUACCAAUGGUGUAGGCAUCCCUUGCAAACUUAAUUUUAUCACAUUCAACUUUGCAAGUUUUAAGUUGAGCAUGAAGGUUGGCAAUAUCAUCAUUCAACUUAGAAAUUGUAGAAACAUGUUCAUUGCAAGCAUUAACAUCAAUAUCCUUACAUCUAUUGCAAAUUGAAACAUGCUCAAUGGAAGAAUUAGUAACACUCAACUUUUCUAUUCUAACAUUUAGAUCAACAUUUAAACUCUUAAGGCUAGAAAUAGAUUCAUGGCAUGAAGACAAUUCAAAAACAAGCAUUUCAUUCUUCUUAAUUUCUAAAGCAAGAGAUUUUUCAGCAUUAACAAGUUUAUCAUGUUCAUCAUAUAGAAUGUCCUCUUGCUUUUCUAGCAACCUAUCUUUUUCAUUAAGAGUAUCAAUUAAUUCAUUGAUUUUGUCUACUUUAGAUCUAUCUAAGCCCUUAAAAAGAUCGCUAUAAUCUAAAUCAUUAUCAGAUUCCUCAUCACUAGAAGAGGUGUACUUAGGAGUGUCACGUACCUUCCUCUCCUUAGCCAUGAGGCAUGUGUGUCGCUCGUUGGGGAAGAGGGAGGACUUGUUGAAGGCGGAGGCGACAAGUCCUUCGUCGUCAGAGUCGGAAGAAGAGCAGUCUGAGUCCCAUUCUUUUCCUAGAUGCGCCUCGCCUUUCUUAUUCUUGUAGAACUUCUUCUUCUCCUUCUUUCCUUUCUUCUCUUGGUCCUAGUCAUUUUCAUUAUCGGGACAUUGUGCAAUAAAAUGACCGGACUUACCGCACUUGAAGCAUGUACGCUUGCCCCUUGAUUUGUUCUUGUUGGGGUAGUCCUUGCGUCCGUUCAAAGCGGUCUUGAAGCGCUUGAUCACAAGCGCCAUUUCCUCCUCAUUAAGGCCAGCAGCCUCAAUUUGCGCCACCUUAUCGGAGAGCGCCUCCUUGCUUGUCGUCGCCUUGAGAGCCACAGGUUGCGGCUCAUAGUGUGGAAGAGGUCCGUUGGCGAUGUCGUCGACGUACCUCGCUUCCUUUGCCAUCAUACGCCCGCUUACGAAUUUACCAAGAAUUUCUUCGGGCGUCAUUCUCGUGUACCUGGGAUUCUCACGAAUGAGGUUUACAAGGUUAGGAUCAAUAACGGUAAAUGACCUCAACAUUAGCCGCACGAUGUCAUGAUCCGUCCAUCUUGUACUCCCAUAGCUUCGGAUCUUGUUCACCAGGGUCUUGAGCCUGUUGUACGUGUCUGUUGGCUCUUCACCCCUCUUCAUGGCGAACCUCUCCAGCUCGCCUUCCACCAACUCCAUCUUGGUGAUCAUCGUGGCGUUGUUUCCCUCAUGAGCGAUCUUGAGGGUGUCCUAUAUCUCCUUAGCAUUGUCCAAGCCACUGACUUUGUUGUAUUCAUCCCUGCAUAGAGAUGCUAGAAGCACAGUAGUAGCUUGGGCAUUUUUAUGAAUUUGCUCAUUGAUAAAAAUAGUAUUAUCACUACUAUCAAAAUGCAUUCCAUUCUCCACUAUUUCCCAAAUGCUAGGAUGAAGAGAAAAAAGAUGAUUGCGCAUUUUAUGGCUCCAAAAAGAAUAAUCUUCCCCAUCAAAAUGAGGGGGUUUGCCAAGAGGAAUAGAUAGAACAUGAGCAUUGGAGUUAUAUGGAAAACGAGAAUAAUCAAAAGACGUUUUAGAGUAGUUUGGUUUAACCGUCUUUUGCUUGAAGGAAGAGUCGUCGUCGUCGUCUUCCUUUGGUGAAGAAGAAGAGUCGUCGCUGUCAUAGUAGACUAUCUUCUUGAUGCGCCUCUUCUUCUUCCUGUCCAUCUUCUUGUUGUUUGAGCCUGAGUCGGUGGGUUUUUCACCUUUUGGCUCGUUGUCGUUGACAGUCUCCUUCUCCGUCUCCUCGGUCACCUUUCCCUUGCCUUUAGAAUCCAUCUCUUCGGGCGGUUAGUCCCUUGAUGAAGAGAACGGCUCCGAUACCAAUUGAGAGCACCUAGAGGGGGGGGAGUGAAUAGGUGAUCCUGUAGAAAAGCUCUAAACAAAACAAACUUGGUCCAAAUAUUGAUUAGUGAAAUCUAAAACCAAGUUCGAAUGAGAAGAGUGAGAGGAGAAAGAUGACUUCUUCACUUAAUUGCUCUCACAAGGUGAGUAUUAAACUUAGAGCAAUAUUAAAGUGAAGUAAAGAGCUAGGAAGAAAAAAUAAUCACAAUAAAGUAAAUAGACAAAGACACAAAGCGAUUUAUCCCGUGGUUCGGCCAAUGCCUACAUCCACAUUGUGGUGACCUCCUUUGGUCAAGGGUUGCACUCAACCCCUCUCAAGUGAUCCAAAGAUCAAACUUGAGUACCACCGUUGUCUUCCUUAUAUCAAAAUCCCAGUUGUGAGGAAUCUCCACAAAUUGGAGUCUCUCACGCCUUACACAAGAUGAUCUCAACAAAAUCAGAGUAAGGAGGGAGUAGAGAUGCACACAAGAGCACAAUUGCAGCAACACCACGCACACAAGCAAAGAAGAGAGCGCACGAAUGAAAAACGACAGAGUCACAGCUCAAAACGCGCUCAAAUCUCUCUCUAAUGAAUCAAAGACGUGGUUGCGGAGUCUCGAAGUUGUAGUGUGCUUAAAGUAUGCUUAUGUGUCUGGUAGAGGCGCUUAGGGGCCUCUUUUAUAGCCCCAAGGGGCCAAGGAGCCAUUGCUCCUCCAAUUGGAAGGCGUCUGUUUGCCUUCUGCGCAGUGGUGCACCGAACAGUCCGGUGGCGCACCGGACACUGCACAGUGGCGAUCUCCUUCCAUAUAGGGCCGAGCCGACCGUUGGCAGCCGAGCCCCGCCUGACGCACCGGACAGUCCGGUGGCGCACCGGACAGUCCGGUGCGACCUCCUGACCGUUGGCGCCGCUGGCGCGGCCGCCACGUGGCCGCCGCAGAUUACGCGCCGACCGUUGGCGCGGGCGAGAGCCAUUGGCCGGCUGGCUCACCGGACAGUCCGGUGAAUUAUAGCCAGCGAGCCUGGCUCUUUUCCCGAGAGCAGCUAGUUCAGCCACCGAAGGCCGUGGAGAGUUGACCCAUUGACCAGGGUAGGCCAUUGGACAGUCCGGUGCACACCGGACAGUCCGGUGCGCCUCAGACUGGCCCAGCCAUGGCCAUUUUGAGUCAUUCUUCUUUUCUCCAAUUUUGCUCGACUUGAGGUGUCUCCUAGCACUUAGAGGAGCAUAGUUAGCAACAAAAACAAUUGACUAAGUGCUAGAAACAUACCUUUAUCCAUUUCUCUAAAAGGAUUUGCAAUGUGCUCCUUCUUAAGACCAAAAUGCACUUUGGUCCUCCAAUUCACUUCAUUUGGAUUUGAUCACUUCAAUUUGUUUUCUUUAUUCCUGUGCUUAUACUCGUAGAAGGCAUGUUAGUUCAGGGCGAUGUGUUGGACUUGGACACUUAAUCACCAAAACACUUAGAAAUGGCCCAAGGGCACAUUUCCCUUUCAAUACCCGUGGUCCGUGGGCGAAUCCUUCAGUUACGAUUCGAUCGGUAGAGAAGCUUGCGGACUCCGUUCGUAAUGAACACGCGGAGGAAACGAGGUCGAUGGCCGACCCGACAGCAUGGCCCCACAUGGCGGUGGUUGAACGGCACAUGGCGCUGGCCGGCGGUCCCCACGAGUCAAUCUCACACGGUGAGAUCGAGCGCUUCGCGGGACGCGCUCCUGAGGUUAGUACACGGCGUGGAGCGAGGCUGAGCAGCAGGGACCACAGGUCAGUGGCCAAAUCAACGCACGCGCAAGGUUGGCUAGGCCAGGAGGCUGAAGGGGAAAUGGUGUUGGGUUGGCGACGGUUUCGGCCCAGGCUGAGGAGAGCUUCUCUAUUCUUUUUUUUUCUAUUUCUUUGUUUUCUCUUUUCAUUUUGGUUUACAAAUUUUCAAUUUCGAAUUUAAGUCAAAGUCUCACAUCAAAUUAAAUGCAUCAAUCAAAAGUAAAACUCCAGCAUAGAUGCAAGGUAAAUUUUAUUAUUUACUUUAUUUAUUAGAGUAAAUGCUUCAAUUUAUACAAGACACACAUUAUUUACUAUAAGAGAAAUAAUUCCUUAUCCUCUAUAUUUAUUCAUAGAAUUUUGGGUAUUACACACCGCAACGUUUCCACAUAGAAAAUGAUGUGGGAGACCGAGACCAUCCGACGUGGCCAAUGUUGCGGCGCUAUUGCAUGUGGUGCUGUUGUGUUAAAUUGUGGUGCCAUGGGCAAUGGCGCCACCAGAAGGGUUAGAAAUAAAAUUUGUUUCGAGGUGGAGUUAUUAAUAAAAUAUUUUUUGAAAAAGGAUUAAAAGAUAAAAAACGUGCUCGCAGGCGCCGUUCCUGUCGCCGUCCCGGCCUCUGACCCCCACCCCCGAUGUCGUCCGCCUGUCAGCCUCCCGUCCGCGACCCGUGUGGCGGGGAGCUGCGUCGGCCGCGAAUCCCGUCCUGUGCCCUCCGCCGCUUGCCGGCCGCCGCUCCAGGCGCUGUUGCUGCGGCCACUACAGGCUUGAUUCGCCGUCGUUGCCAGCCUCCUCGCCCUGUUGAUCGUGAUUCCUGCCCCGCUGUUGUGCCCUCCGCCACUCGCCCACCUGGCCAUUCCCCUCCCCAACAUAUCAAGCAGACAAGCACGAUCCAAUGUUCCUAGCCUGUGAUGGUUUGUCUUCACAGGGCUCAAGGUGCUUGCUUAUCCUUUGUGCUUCAUGCUUCUCUAUGCGCAUGUUUGACCCUUAUUUGUUUGGCAAAGGUUAAUGCCCUGUUUGUUUAAACUUCUGUAGCUUUUGCUUCUGUAGGAAGCUCCAAAAGCCAAAAGCUUAAACAAAUAUGAUUGCUUUUCUGACAAGCAAAAGCUCCAAAAGCUGAGUUUAUACUACAAGCACAGAAGCUCCUCUGGACCAGCUCCUUGAGCUUUUGGCCGUACUGUAUCAUCCGUGUGCCUCUCGACCUAUGUGAGUCCUCUAAUAUCAAAAAUUUAGGUACUCAAACAAGUUAGCUUCUCCGACCAACAACUUCUUCAAUCAGCAGCUUCUCCAACCAGCAAGUGAUCUUCCCAGACCAGCAGCUUUUCCAAAAACUCCAGCUAAAAUCGAACAUGUUUAGUUUGUUUGCACUCCAUUUGUUUAUUUUGUUGAAUGAAAUGCAGAAAUGGAAAGAUGAUGGAAUCAGCCUCUGUGCAAAAGUUGUGAAUGUGGCUCAAGUGCAAGAAUGGUCAAAGCCAGUUGAAGGAUUUGUAUCCAGUGUGGAUCUUCGCCUUAUUCUUUUUACGGUAAUUAUCACUGCCUUUUGGUAUAGGAGCAAGAUCACGUUUUCUGAUUUGUUAGCUGUCAUCUCCAAGGUUUAGUUAGUUGAGAUUUACGUACCUUUAUAUCAUAUUUUUGUGUGAAGAGUUUGUCAAUGAUUCAUGUUAGAGCUUAUGGUUAUGGAUAUGCUCAAUGUGAUAUAUCCAAUUACAUGAUUGCAGUAGCGUUACUGAUUCAGGAAGCCGUGCAGGUUCCUCAAUUUAUUUUACCUUAUUGAGAUGAGUUUGAUACAGUUUAAGUCAAGUCAGCAUAAUACUUUUCUCCUGAUUUGCGUGGUUGAGGUUUAGGUUUUCUCAUCCUUUACCCAUUGUGCUACAUAACAUUAAUAGAAAUUCCCAUGCUUCCUGCAGCGAGAUUAUUGCCAUUAUAGAACAUGGCAGAGCUGGAUUCGAUGAAAUAGAGGUGUAGGGAAGGGCUUCGACACUAUGGAGGCGUAGACGACGGCCAAGCGCUGGUAUGGACUUGAAGAACCCAUUAGCCGCUGCGUACACCGAUUAAGGUGCUUGAGGUAACGCCGUGAGGUACCUGCGAGCUCUGCCGUCGUUCUCCUCUUCUCGGCUCUCUUUCCUUCCCGAUUUGUAGUGUGGUUGUUUCCUGCCUUUGUAAAUAAGCUUGCUUACUGCCUUUGUACAAGUUUGGGAGCAUAAUGCAAUUAUGUUGAAAUCUGGCAUUUUGAAACAAAGGCAGUCUGGGAGCAAUCUGGUAGCAUUUUGAAAGGCAGUCUGGGAGCAUUUUGAAAUGUACAAACUUAUAACUGAAGAUUGCUGAAGAUAGCUGAAGGAAACUUGUACAAAGGCAAACUUAUAACUGAAGAUUGCUUAUAACUGAAGCAAUCUGGGAGCAUUUUGAAAUGUACAAGUUUGCUUACUGCAAUCUGGUAGCAUUUUGAAAUGCACCUCACGCCAGAUUGCUCCCAGUCAAUAUGCAAGCUAAUGUUCCCAGGCACCUCACGCCAGAUUGCUCCCAGUCAAUAUCCAAGCUAACAGAAACAAGCACAUAAGCUCCCAGGUAACAGAAACGAGCACAUAAGGUUUUCCGGAUGGGGAAAAACGCGGCUGAUCCAGUACGGCUGUCCGGCGAGCCACCCUGAUCCAGUACACAAAUUGAGGAAUCCGGAUGGGGAAAAACGCGGGAGACAAGGGCAGACAAUGGGAGAGAAUGGGAAGGAAGAACACAACGAAGAACUCACGGCCGACGAGUCCGACAUGUCUGCUCCCUCCUCCCGGGCGGACGGCAACGAGAUCUCGACGGCACCCUGGGGGGUGACGGCGCUGAAGACGGCAGCCUGGCCAAGGAGACUUAUUCUCACGGCGGGAGAUUAAUCAGUGUCCGCAACGGCUAAUGGGUUUUUCAUGUCCAUACCAGCGCUUCGCCGUCGUCUGCGCCUCCAAACUGUCGAAGCCCUUCCCUGCACCUCCAUUUCGUCGAAACCAACUCUGUCGUGUUCCAUAAUGGCAAUAAUCUCUCCUGCAGCAUACAACCUGUGUCGAUCUCAACCCCCGUUGGGACAUAGUCGCCUGAUACAUGGCAAUAUGGCAUAGGCAUAGGCAUAGACAUAUUUCCUCUACUUCUUUGGUUCAGGGUUAGUAAAGUGCUAUAUCUCUACAUGUAUAUGCCAUGUGAAUUGUGUCUUAGUCUUGACUUAUGUAAACCCUUUUUUUCAUGUUUUGUCUUCCUUCAUAAGGACAAUUCCUGCUGGUAUUAUUAACUUACCAUUUCAUGGAACCAACAUAGGAGAUCCUGCCACUAGUAGAAAAAAGCUCUAUGCCUGCAGUGAGCAGUAAUUUUUACAGGCGGUUUCAGUUAUCACGCGUCUGUAAGAGUAAAGUGGCAGGCCCCACUUAAUGAACCGCCUGUGGAAACCCAUUUACACAGUUCACUUAACACGACCGCCUGUGUAAAUGGGCAAUUUCUAGAGGCGGUUGAGUUAAGUGAACUGCCUAUAGAAACCAAUUUAUACAGACAGUUCACUUAAUGCAACCGCCUGUAGAAAUGGACCAUUUGCACAGGCGAUCGCGUUAAGUGAACCGCUUGUGUAAAUCAGUUUCCACAGGCGGUUCAUUGAGUGGGGACCGUCUGUGAUGGUCUAGGUAUAAAUAUCCCUUCUUCCUCCCCGAGCAGGACUGUUUUUCCCAGCCACCUUCCAUUGGAGGCCAUUUUUGGAGGUCCAGAUUUCACAAGAUACAAGGGGAGAGGUUUUCAUCUCAUUUUUUGGAAGGAGGUUGCUAAGAAAGUUUAGUUUAUGUCUCUCUUGCCUUCUUUUGUUCAUUCUUGCUCAACUGUAGUCACUUUUUGGAUCUAGGGUUUCACCAUGUGGUAGAGAGAAGAGUAGCUAGGCUAUUGUCUUCAUUUCCUCAAUUGAGGUUUCUUAAGAUGGUUAGAUAAUGUCUCUUCUCACUCCCUUUUCAUGUUACUUCUCAAUUUAGUUCAUCCAUGAUAUAGUUAGUUGUUUCCAUGGUGUAUUCCUGUGUAUUUAUGUAGAGGGAGAAAUAUAGAUGUUUUGUCAGUUUUUUUUAAUUGUGCUACUAAGCUUGGUGUCUUGAAUAUCUCUGUUUAUUUCUCAAUUUGUUUUCAUCAUCCACUAUGUAUUUAUGUUUCAUGGUGUGUUCUUGUGUAUUUAUGUAGAUGGAGGAAUAUAUUUUUUUGUUAGUUUUUUUAAUUAUGGUACUAUGGUUGUUGUCUUUAAUAUCUCCGUUUGUUUCUCAAUUUGUUUUAAUUAUUCACUAUGUAUUUAUGUUUCAUGGUGUGUUCUUGUGUAUUUAUGUAGAGGGAGGAAUAUAGUUUUUGUGUUAGUUUUUUAAUUAUGGUACUAAGGUUGUUGUCUUUAAUAUCUCCAUUUAUUUCUCAAUUUGUUUUAAUUAUCCACCAUGUAUUUAUGUUUAAUAUCUCCUUUUAUUUCUCAAUUAGUUUUAAUUUGUCAACAACCGCUAUUGUUUCUCCUAGCCACCUUCCACUGGAGGCCAUUUUUGGAGGUCCAGAUUUCACAAAAUACAAGGGGAGAGGUUUUCAUCUCAAUUUUUGGAAGGAGGUUGCUAUGACAGGUUAGUUUAUGUCUCUCUUGCCUCCUUUUGUUCAUUCUUGCUCAAUUGUAGUCAUUUUUUGGAUCUAGGGUUUCACCAUGUGUUAGAGAGAAGAGUAGCUAGCUUAUUGUCUCCAUUUCCUCAAUUGAGGUUGCUUAAGAUGGAUAGAUAAUGUCCCUCCUCACUUCAUUUUCAUGUUUACUUCUCAAUUUAGUUCAUCCAUGAUAUACUUAGUUGUUUCCAUGGUGUGUUCUUGUGUAUUUAUGUAGAGAGAGAAAUAUAGAUUUUUUGUUAGGUUAUCAAUUGUGCUACUAAGCUUGUUGUCUUGAAUAUCUCUGUUUAUUUCUCAAUUUGUUUUCAUCAUCCACUAUGUUGUUGAUUGAGGUUACUUAAUAGGUCAAAUUUCAUUCUUCUAACUUUUUUUCAGGUAAUGAUGGAGAGGUCAUUCUGGAUGUAUAACUUAUCAAGACUAGAUCCAUCAUACAUAUCCGAGGUCCGUGGGUUUAUUGAUGCCGCUAAGAACCAUGCUUGGAUAACAAAGACAAAGCACAUAUAUUGUCCAUGUAUGGACUGUAAAAAUGUGGUUGUAUUUGAAGACACAGAAUGAAUCAUUUCUCAUCUGGUCUGCCGGGGAUUUAUGAAGGAUUACAUCAUUUGGACAAAGCAUGGAGAGGGUAGCUCUGCGCCCUAUACAUCUGGAAACCCUGCGAACAUCGACGCCGAUGGUCCAGGUAUGCUUGGUGACGGAUUUCAGUUCGUACACGAGACACAACAACCUCUUCCCCAAAGCGAACAUGUAGUGCCAAAUGUCACUGAGCAUGGUUUUGCUAGAGGAAAUGAAGGCAUCAGAACUUAUGUUGUGCCAAAUGUUACGGAUGCGGAAGAUGCAGAAUUCUUGGAGGAAAUAUUGCGUCGUCAUAUAGAUCCAUCAAUGUUUUUCAUGAGAGGUAUGGAGGCCCUGAUGAAGGCAGCAAAAGAGCCUUUGUACGAUGAGUCUAAGAGUUGUACCAAAGAUUUCACGACACUGCGGUCUGUGCUGAAGUUGUUGGUGUUAAAGGCUAGAUAUGGUCUGUCUGAUGCUGGCUUCGAUGCGUUCUUGAGUAUUAUCACAGAAAUGCUUCCAAAGGAGAACAAAGUGCCUACUAACACGUACUAUGCAAAGAAGCUAAUCAGUCCGCUCACUAUGGGUGUGGAGAAGAUCCACGCGUGCAGAAAUCACUGUAUCCUAUAUCGAGGGAUGAUUAUAAAGACUUGGAGAGCUGUCCAAAGUGUGGUGCAAGUAGGUACAAGAUGAAUAAAGACUAUCGAGAGGAAGAGUAUGCUGCCUCCGUGUCUAAAGGGAAGAAACGAAAGAAGACCCAACAAAGUUCAAAACCCACGAAAUAUUAGGUUCGCACUGAGUACUGACGGAAUGAAUCCAUUUGCUGAGAGGAGCAGCAAGCACAGCACAUGGCCGGUGAUCCUCACCAUCUACAACCUUCCUCCAUGGUUGAUGCAGAAGCGAAAGUACCUUUUGCUAACCAUACUUAUUUCUAAACCUACACAACCUGGUGUGGAUAUGGAAAUAUUUUUGGAGCCCUUAAUGGAGGACAUGAAAAUAUUAUGGAAGAUGGGUGUUGAAAUGUUGGACGAGUACCGCAAAGAUUCAUUCACGCUGAGAGCAAUUAUUUUUGUUACCAUCAAUGAUUACCCUGUUCUCUUCACAUUAUUAGGUCAGUUCAAGGGAAAGGUUGGUUGCGUAGUAUGCAUUGAUGGAACCGCUUAUGUGUCCCUUGAUGCAUCUAAGAAGAUAGUGUACAUGACACACAGACGCUUCUUAUUGAAAGGACAUAGGUACCGCCUACGAAGGAUGGAUAGGUACUUCGACAAUAAUGACGAAUUAAUUCUACUGCACCAUCAGGUAACAGUAAAGGCCAAAGAGUUUUCGAAAUAGUCAGCAACAUCAAAUUUGUUUUUGGGAAGAAGACAAAAGACGGAAAACCAAGAAAGGAUGUCAAACCAACUCCAGGGGCUACAUUCAAGAAGAAGUCCAUUUUCUUCGAGUAUCUGCCAUACUGGAAAGAGUUGGACGUACGACACGUGAUCGAUGGUAUGCACGUUCAGAAGAACGUGUUUGAAAGCCUAAUUGGCACCCUGCUAGACAUAAAGAGCAAAACAAAAGAAGGACUCAAUUCACGCAUGGACUUGGUGAGAGCACCUAGAGGGGGGGGGGGUGAAUAGGUGAUCCUGUAAAAAUAGCUCUAAACAAAACAAACUUGGUCCAAAAAUGGAUUAGUGAAAUCUAAAACCAAGUUCGAAUGAGAAGAGAGAGAGAAGAAAGAGGACUUCUUCACUUAAUUGCUCUCACAAGGUGAGUAUUAAACUUAGAGCAAUAUUAAAGUGAAGUAAAGAGCUAGGAAGAACAAUAAUCGCGAUAAAGUAAAUAGACAAAGAGACAAAGCGAUUUAUCCCGUGGUUCGGCCAAUGCCUACAUCCACGUUGUGGUGACCUCCUUUGGUCAAGGGUUGCACUCAACCCCUCUCAAGUGAUCCAAAGAUCAAACUUGAGUACCACAGUUGUCUUCCUUAUAAUAUGAUCCCGUUUGUGAGGAAUCUCCACACGUUGGAGUCUCUCACCCUUACACAAAUGAUCACAAUCAAGUCCGGAGUAAGGAGGGGAGUAGAAACACACACAAGAGCACAAGUGCAGCAGCAAACACGCACACAAUCAAAGAAGAGAGAGCACGAAUGAAAACGACAGAGUUACAGCUCAAGAACGCGCUUCAAAUCUCUCUCUAGCAAUUCAAUAGCAUGGUUGCGGAGUCUCGGAGUUGUUGUGUGCUCAAAGUGUGCUUAGGUACCAAGUAGAGGCGCCUAGGGGGUCUCUUUUAUAGCCCCAAGGGGCCAAGGAGCCGUUGCUCCUUCGUUUUGGAAGGCCUCUGGUUGCCUUCUCCGCACGGGCACACCGGACAGUCCGGUGCACACCGGACACUGUCCGGUGCCCGAUUUCCUUCCUUAAACAGCCGCGUCGACCAUUGAGCCGACCGUUGCCGCCGCUGGUCGCUGGGCUCACCGGACAGUCCGGUGCACACCGGACAGUCUGGUGCUGCCCGCCGACCGUUUGCGCAGCACACGUGGCCGCCACGUGGCCGCUGUUGAUUGCGCGCCGACUGUUGGCGCUGGCGAGAGCCGUUGGCCGCCUGGCUCACCGGACAGUCUGGUGCACACCGGACAGUCCGGUGAAUUAUAGCCAGCGCACCUGGCUCAUUUCCCGAGAGCGGCCAGUAUGACCGCUUAGCUGCCAGCCGAGCAGCCUGGCGCACCGGACACUGUCUGGUGCACACCGGACAGUCCGGUGCUGCCCAGACUAGGCCAAAUUCGGCCAAACUUUGCCAAACUUGUUUUCUUCAAUUUUGCUCGACUUGAUGAGUUACCUAACACUUAGAUGAACAUAGUUAGCAACUAAAACAAUUGACUAAGUGCUAGAUUCAUACCUUUUGUAUUUGGUUUCUCCAAUGUUUGCAAUGUGCUCCAAUUCAAGUCCAAAAUGCACUUUCUUUGUUCUACAUGGUUAAUGGCAAAAACAAAGUGCUAGAAACAUGGAUGAGGGUAUAUGCAACUUAUCCAAACACUUAAACCAUGUGUCCAUGUUGGUUUUGAACAUGUUGCACUUUUGGCCCUCCAAUUCACCACAUUUGGACUUGAUCACUUCAAUUUGCUUUCUUUAUAUCUAUGCUCACACUCAUAGAAGACAUGUUAGAUCAAAGUGAUGUGUUGGGCACUUAAUCACCAAAACACUUAGAAAUGUCCCAAGGGCACAUUUCCCUUUCAAUCUCCCCCUUUUUGGUGAUUUAUGCCAACUAGGGAUGAAGUGGUAAUUCGAACUGUUAGAACAAAUUUAAUAUUUUAAAAUAGAUAUGUAUAAAAUUUGAUGUUGAUCUUUUCUUAUGUUAUCAAGCACAUUAGUACAAAUAUGAAUAAAAUAUUAUAUAAGUUGUUUUAUGUAUUAUUUGCUCCCUACAACACAAAAAGUUGAAAAAAUUACCGAAUUUGUUUCCGAAUCCAUACCGAAGUUUAUAUCUAUUAUUUGAGAAAAUAUUGGAUGAAUUUGAGGUUUACCUUUUAUGAAUCUUAACAAGCUAGAUGUUAAAAACAAGAAUACAAAUUUGUAUUGUAUAUUCUAUAUCCUAUUUAUUCGCAAUCAAAGAAAAAACUGAUUACCAAAUAAAUACCGUUUCCGACCGUUUUCAUCCCUAAUGCCAACACAUCAAAAGCAACUUAAUAUGCACUAACAUAAUCAAAUGUGAGCCAAAAAGUGCAAAUUGAAGUCAAACUAAAACCAAUUGAAUUUUCACAGGAUUUGACAUAUAUGGAUCAUUUUGCCACCACUUGGUUUGCUUUUGCAAAACAAAUUCAUUUUUCUAACAUCUAAGUCAAAUCACUUUAUUUUUGCAAAUCAAACCAUUUUCAAAGACUAGUUUUGAUCAAAAACCAAAAGCUCCCCCUUUUUCUCAUAAAAAGAUUACUCCCCCAAAACAGAAUAGCUUUGCAAUUAGAGAGCUCCACUUUGCUAUCAAGAGGGUUUUGAUCAAAUAGACAAGUUCAAAAACAAAAACUUUUGAAAUUCACAAGUGGCGAUUGAUCCAGUUGCUUUGGCCUUAUCUUUCUCCCCCUUUGGCAUGAAGCACCAAAACGGAGAAAUUAGUGGCCUUUUAACCCCAUUGCCUCACCAAAAAUUGCAAAUAAACAUCGAAAGCAAUGAGAAAACAUAGGGGCGACUUGGAACAAAAUACAUUGAUACCGUAAUGCAGCGGAAGCCUUUUUCUUUGUCCAAGUUCACAUGUUCCCUUUCAAUGCACCUUUGAGACUACAUCAUCAUAACUCAACAAACACAUUAGUCUCAAAGGGUCAAGUUGUAGCAUACCCUCCCCCUAAACAUAUGCAUCAUUUGCACAAGGACUUGUGAGGUCCGGGGAUGACAUUCUACAACUUGAGCACAAAAAUAAACAAUAAAGCUCAAAAAUAUGAUCAAAGGCAUAAAAACACAUGUAUGUUAUAGAUCAAUCCAAGUUCCGCGAAUCUAAGACAUUUAGCUCACUACGCAGCCUGCAAAACCUUUUCUCAUCUAAAGGCUUGGUGAAGAUAUCGGCUAGCUGGUGGUCGGUGCUAAUAUGGCAAACAUCGAUAUCUCCCCUUUGCUGGUGGUCUCUCAGAAAGUGAUGCCGGAUGUCUAUGUGCUUAGUGCGGCUGUGUUCAACGGGAUUAUCCGCCAAGCGGAUUGCGCACUCUCAUUAUCACAUAGGAGUGGGACUUUGCUCAGAUUGUAGCCAAAGUCCCGGAGGGUUUGCCUCAUCCAAAGUAGUUGCGCGCAACACUGGCCUGCGGCAACAUACUCGGCCUCGGCGGUGGAUAGGGCAACAGAUGUUUGUUUCUUUGAGCUCCACGACACCAGGGACCUUCCCAGAAACUAACAAGUCCCUGAUGUACUCUUCCUAUCAACCUUGCAUCUGGCAUAGUCGGAGUCUGAGUAUCCAAUUAAGUCAGAGGUUGACCCCUUAGGAUACCAGAGCCCGAGGCAGGGCGUAUGAACUAAAUGUCGAAGAAUACGCUUCACGGCCACAAGGUGACAUUCCUUGGGGUCGGAUUGAAAUCUAGCACACAUGCAUACGCUAAGCAUUAUAUCCGGUCUACUAGCACAAAGAUAAAGCAAAGAACCUAUCAUAGACCGGUAUGCCUUUUGAUCAACGGACUUACCUCCCUUGUCGAGGUCCAGAUGUCCGUCGGUUCCCAUUGGCGUCUUAGCGGGCUUUGCGUCCUUCAUCCCAAACUUCUUGAGCAAGUCUUGUGUGUACUUUGUUUGAGAGAUGAAUGUCCCGUCUUUAUGUUGCUUUACUUGAAAUCCGAGGAAGUAUGUUAAUUCUCCCAUCAUGGACAUCUCGAAUUUCUGUUGCAUCACCCUGCUAAACUCCUCACAAGACUUUUGAUUAGUAGAACCAAAUAUUAUGUCAUCGACAUAUAUUUGGCAUAUAAACAAAUCACCAUUGCAAGUCUUAGUAAAAAGAGUUGGAUCAGCUUUCUCGACCUUGAAAGCAUUAGAAAUAAGGAAAUCUUUAAGGCAUUCAUACCAUGCUCUUGGUGCUUGCUUAAGCCCAUAGAGUGCCUUAGAGAGCUUAUACAUAUGGUCGGGAUACCUGUCAUCCUCGAAGCCAGGGGGUUGCUCCAUGUACACCUCCUCCUUGAUUGGCCCGUUGAGGAAGGUGUUCUUUACGUCCAUUUGAAAUAACUUGAAAGAGUGGUGAGCAGCAUAGGCCAAUAAAAUGCGAAUAGACUCAAGCCUAGCUACAGGAGCAAAAGUCUCCUCGAAAUCCAAACCUGCGACUUGGGCAUAUCCUUUUGCCACAAGUCGAGCCUUGUUUCUUGUCACCACCCCGUACUCGUCUUGUUUGUUGCGGAACACCCACUUGAUUCCUACAACGUUUUGCUUUGGACGUGGCACCAAACUCCACACUUCAUUUCUCUUGAAGUUGUUGAGCUCUUCCUGCAUGGCCAUCACCCAGUCCGGAUCCUGCAAGGCUUCUUCUACCCUGAAAGGCUCAAUAGAAGAAACAAAAGAGUAAUGCUCACAAAAAUUAGCCAAUCAUGAACGAGUGGUUACUCCCUUGCUGAUGUCACCAAGGAUUUGAUCCACCGGAUGAUCCUUUUGAAUGUUGGUGCGGACUUGAGUUGGAAGUGCCUGUGGUACUUCUUCUUCCUCCUUAUCCUUUUCUUCAUGUGCUCCCCCUUGAUCCAUGACUUCAUCUUGAGGUACCUGUUCCUCAUCUUGAGUUGGGGGUUCCACCAUGGUUGAGGAAAAAGGUUGAUCCUGUUCUUGUUGUUCCUGCGGUCGCACAUCACCUAUCGCCAUAGUCCUCAUUGCGGCCGUUGGAACUUCAUUCUCAUCUACAUCAUCAAGAUCAACCUGCUCUCUUGGAGAGCCAUUAGUCUCAUCAAAUACAACGUCACUAGUGACUUCAACUAAACCCGAAGAUUUGUUGAAGACCCUAUAUGCCUUUGUAUUUGAAUCAUAACCUAGUAAAAACCCUUCUACGGCUUUGGGAGAAAACUUUGAAUGUCUACCUCUCUUUACAAGAAUGUAGCAUUUGCUCCCAAAUACACGAAAGUACGAAACAUUGGGUUUGUUACCGGUUAGGAGCUCGUAUGCCGUUUUCUUGAGGAGGCGAUGAAGGUAGAGGCGGUUUAUGGCAUGGCAAGCCAUAUUCACGGCUUCCGACCAAAACCGCUCCGGCGUCUUGUAUUCUCCCAGCAUCGUCCUUGCCAUAUCGAUGAGCGUCCGGUUCUUCCUCUCCACUCACCAUUUUGCUGUGGAGUGUAGGGAGCGGAGUACUCAUGCUUGAUGCCCUCCUCCUCAAGAUAUUCCUCCACUUGAAGGUUCUUGAAUUCCGAUCCAUUGUCGCUCCUGAUCUUCUUCACCUUGAGCUCGAACUCAUUUUGAGCUUGCCUUAGGAAACGCUUUAAAGUGCCUUGGGUUUCGGAUUUAUCCUGUAAAAUGAAUACCCAAGUGAAGCGGGAAAAGUCAUCAACAACUACAAGACCAUACUUACUUCCCCCGAUGCUAAGGUAAGCAACGGGUCCGAAGAGAUCUAUAUGAAGAAGCUCCAAUGGUCUUGAAGUCGUCAUCACGUUCUUGCUUGGAUGACUUGUUCCUACUUGCUUCCCUGGUUGGCACGCUGCACAAGGUCUGUCUUUCUCAAAACAGACAUCGGUUAGUCCUAACACGUGUUCUCCCUUUAGAAGCUUAUGAAGGUUCUUUAUUCCAACAUGUGCUAGACGGCGAUGCCAGAGCCAGCCCAAGUUAGUCUUAGCAAUUAAACAUGCAUCUAGAUCGGCAUUCUCUUUAGUAAAAUCAACCAAAUAAAGCUUGCCGUCUAAUACACCUUUAAAAGCUAAUGAACCAUCACUUCUUCUAAAGAUAGAAACAUCAACAUUCGUAAAUAAGCAGUUAUACCCCAUGUGACAUAACUGACUAACAGAAAGCAAAUUAUAACCAAGCGAUUCUACUAAGAAAACAUUAGAAAUUGAAUGCUCGGUAGUGAUGGCUAUUUUACCCAAACCUUUGACUUUGCCUUGGUUCCCAUCUCCAAAGAUGAUCUUGUCAUGGGAAUUCUUGUUCUUGACGUAGGAGGUGAACAUCUUCUUCUCCCCCGUCAUAUGGUUCGUGCAUCCGCUAUCAAUUAUCCAACUUGAGCCCCCGGAUGCAUAAACCUGCAAGGCAAUUUAGGCUUGGGAUUUAGGUACCCAACUCUUGUUGGGUCCUACAAGGUUAGUUACAUAAGGUUUUGGAACCCAAAUGCAAGUCUUACCUCUCUUGCAUUUAGGCCCCACAUUUUUAGCACAUACUUUACCAGAUUUACAAAACAACACAUAUGAAGCAUCAUAAGUAUGGUAAAGCAUAGAAGGACCAUGAGAUGCAUUUCUAGACGCAUAAGAAACAACAUUAUGAGCAUGGCGCCUAGGUCUACUCCUACUAUGAGCAUGAGAUGAACUAGAAGAAGCAUUCAUGGUACGAGGAGCAAAGACAGCAUCAUGACGCACAGGUAAAACAACAUGAUCAUUAUGAUGAACAACUCGAGAAGCACGAGAAGCAUUCUUAACAUGAGCAUACAAAUAAGCAUGGUUCUUCUUCUCAUGAAAGAAAUGCGAACUACUAGCCAAAUGCGCCUUCCCCUUCUCCAUAACGAAGCUGGGGGCCCUUUGGCUCUUUGUGUCCUUGGUUCCUUUUUGGAAACCAAGUCCAUCCUUAAUGGAGGGAUGUCUACCAAUGGUGUAGGCAUCCCUAGCAAACUUAACCUUUUCACACUCAUUUUUGCAAAUUUUAAGUUGAGCAUUAAGAUUGGCAAUCUCAUCAUUCAACUUGGAAACAGUAGAAGCAUGAUUAUUGCAAGCAUCAACAUCAAAAUCCUUACACCUAUUGCAAAUAGAAACAUGCUCCAAAGAAGAACUUGCAACACUCAAUUUUUCUAUUCUAGCAUUUAAAUCAACAUUUAUACUCUUAAGGCUAGAAAUAGAGUCAUGGCAGGAAGACAACUCAAAAGCAAGCAUUUCAUUCUUCUUAAUUUCUAAAGCAAGGGAUUUUUCAACAUUAACAAAUUUAUCAUGUUCCUCAUAAAGAAUAUCCUCUUGCUUUUCAAGCAACCUAUCAUUUUCAUUAAGAGCAUCAAUCAAUUCAUUAAUUUUAUCAAUUUUGGAUCUAUCUAAGCCCUUGAAAAGAUCGCUAUAAUCUAAAUUAUCAUCAGAAUCCUCAUCGCUAGAAGAAGUAUAUUUGGGAGUAUCUCGUGUAUGUACCUUCUUCUCCUUAGCCAUGAGGCACGUGUGUCGUUCGUUGGGGAAGAGGGAUGACUUGUUGAAGGCGGAGGCGGCGAGUCCCUCGUCGUCGGAGUCGGAUGAAGAGCAGUCCGAGUCCCAUUCCUUGCCAAGGUGCGCCUCGCCCUUCUUCUUCUUGUAGAAUUUCUUCUUCUCCUUCUUCCCUUUCUUCUCUUGGUCCUGGUCAUUUUCAUUAUCGGGACAUUGAGCAAUAAAAUGACCGGACUUACCGCACUUGAAGCAUGUACGCUUGCCCCUUGAUUUGCUCUUGUUGGAGUAGUCCUUGCGUCCCUUCAAGGCAGUCUUGAAGCGCUUGAUUACAAGCGCCAUCUCCUCCUCAUUAAGGCCGACAGCCUCAAUUUGCGCCACCUUGUCGGGGAGCGCCUCCUUGCUUGCCGUCGCCUUAAGAGCCACGGGUUGCGGCUCAUAGUGUGGAAGAGGUCCGUUGGCGAUGUCGUCGAUGUACCUUGCCUCCUUUGCCAUCAUGCGCCCACUUACAAAUUUUCCAAGGAUUUCUUCGGGCGACAUUUUGGUGUACCUGGGGUUCUCACGAAUAAGGUUUACAAGGUUAGGAUCAAUAACGGUAAAUGACCUUAGCAUGAGGUGCACGACGUCAUGAUCCGUCCAUCUUGUACUCCCGUAGCUUCGAAUCUUGUUCACCAGGGUCUUGAGCCUGUUGUAUGUGUCAGUUGGCUCUUCACCCCUCUUCAUGGCGAAUCUCCCCAACUCUCCUUCCACCAACUCCAUUUUGGUGAUCAUUGUGGCGUUGUUCCCCUCAUGAGCUAUCUUGAGGGUGUCCCAUAUCUCCUUGGCAUUGUCCAAGCCACUAACUUUGUUGUAUUCAUCCCUACAUAGAGAUGCUAGAAGAACAGUAGUAGCUUGGGCAUUCUUAUAAAUUUGUUCAUGAAUAAAAUUUGCACUAUCACUAUUAUCAAAUUGCAUCCCAUUUUCUACAACAUCCCAAAUGCUAGGAUGAAGAGAAAAGAGAUGGCUACGCAUUUUGUGACUCCAAAAAGAAUAGUCUUCCCCAUCAAAAUGAGGGGGUUUGCCAAGAGGUAUAGACAUCAAAUGAGCAUUGGAGUUAAAUGGAAAAUGAGAAUAAUCAAAAGACGUUUUAGAGUAGUUUGGUUUAACCGUCUUUUGUUUGAAGGAAGAGUCAUCGUCGUCGUCCUUUGGUGAAGAAGAAGAGUCGUCGCUGUCGUAGUAGACUAUUUUCUUGAUGCGCCUCUUCUUCUUCCCGUCCUUCUUCUUGUUGUUUGAGCCUGAGUCGGUGGGCUUUUCACCCUUUGGCUCGUUGUCGUUGACGGUCUCCUUCUCCUUCUCGUCGAUCACGAUCCCCUUGCCUUUAGGAUCCAUCUCUUCGGGCGAUUAGUCCCUUGAUGAAGAGAACGGCUCUGAUACCAAUUGAGAGCACCUAGAGGGGGGGGGGGUGAAUAGGUGAUCCUGUAAAAAUAGCUCUAAACAAAACAAACUUUGUCCAAAAAUGGAUUAGUGAAAUCUAAAACCAAGUUCGAAUGAGAAGAGAGAGAGGAGAAAGAGGACUUCUUCACUUAAUUGCUCUCACAAGGUGAGUAUUAAACUUAGAGCAAUAUUAAAGUGAAGUAAAGAGCUAGGAAGAACAAUAAUCGUGAUAAAGUAAAUAGGCAAAGAGACAAACCGAUUUAUCCCGUGGUUCGGCCAAUGCCUACAUCCACGUUGUGGUGACCUCCUUUGGUCAAGGGUUGCACUCAACCCCUCUCAAGUGAUCCAAAGAUCAAACUUGAGUACCACGGUUGUCUUCCUUAUAAUAUGAUCCCGUUUGUGAGGAAUCUCCACACGUUGGAGUCUCUCACCCUUACAAAAAUGAUCACAAUCAAGUCCGGAGUAAGGAGGGGAGUAGAAACACACACAAGAGCACAAGUGCAGCAGCAAACACGCACACAAUCAAAGAAGAGAGAGAACGAAUGAAAACGACAGAGUUACAGCUCAAGAACGCGCUUCAAAUCUCUCUCUAGCAAUUCAAUAGUGUGGUUGCGGAGUCUCGGAGUUGUUGUGUGCUCAAAGUGUGCUUAGGUACCAGGUAGAGGCGCCUAGGGGUCUCUUUUAUAGCCCCAAGGGGCCAAGGAGCCGUUGCUCCUUCGUUUUGGAAGGCCUCUGGUUGCCUUCUCCGCACGGGCACACCGGACAGUCCGGUGCACACCGGACACUAUCCGGUGCCCGAUUUCCUUCCUUAAACAGCCGCGUCGACUAUUGAGCCGACCGUUGCCGCCGCUAGUUGCUGGGCUCACCGGACAGUCCGGUGCACACCGGAUAGUCCGGUGCUGCCCGCCGACCGUUGGCGCAGCACACAUGGCCGCCAUGUGGCCGCCGUUGAUUGCGCGCCGACCGUUGGCGCUGGCAAGAGCCGUUGGCCGCCUGGCUCACCGGACAGUCCGGUGCACACCGGACAGUCUGGUGAAUUAUAGCCAGCGCACCUGGCUCAUUUCCCGAGAGCGGCCAGUACGGCCGCUUAGCUGCCAGCCGAGCAGCCUGGCGCACCGGACACUGUCUGGUGCACACCGGACAGUGCGGUGCUGCCCAGACUAGGCCAAAUUCGGCCAAACUUUGCCAAACUUGUUUUCUUCAAUUUUGCUCGACUUGAUGAGUUACCUAACAAUUAGAUGAACAUAGUUAGCAACUAAAACAAUUGACUAAGUGCUAGAUUCAUACCUUUUGUAUUUGGUUUCUCCAAUGUUUGCAAUGUGCUCCAAUUCAAGUCCAAAAUGCACUUUCUUUGUUCUACAUGGUUAAUGGCAAAAACAAAGUGCUAGAAACAUGGAUGAGGGUAUAUGCAACUUAUCCAAACACUUAAACCAUGUGUCCAUGUAGGUUUUGAACAUGUUGCACUUUUGGCCCUCCAAUUCACCACAUUUGGACUUGAUCACUUCAAUUUGCUUUCUUUAUAUCUAUGCUCACACUCAUAGAAGACAUGUUAGAUCAAAGUGAUGUGUUGGGCACUUAAUCACCAAAACACUUAGAAAUGGCCCAAGGGCACAUUUCCCUUUCACUUGGUGCAUUUAGGCAUUAAAAAAGAACUUCACCCUGUUCUUCGAGAAAAUUGGAAAUACCAUCUCCCUGCCGCAAGCUACAACCUCAACGUAGACGAGAAAUAUGCGAUGUGUGUGUGGUUCAAGAAUUUAAAAGUCCCAUAUGGAUUCUGCUCUAGCAUACGGAGUAUUGUGUCAAUGAAAGACCUUACACUCACCAAUUAUAACUCACAAGAUUGCCAUGUCAUGCUUACUACUUUCCCCCCUAUUGCCAUCAGGGCUAUAAAUCCUGUGUUCUUAAAGAUGAUAGUGACACGGCUGUGCUACUUUUUCAACAAGAUCUCACAAAAGGUAAUUGACCGCGAUGGGUUGGCAUCUCUUCAGGAAUUCGCAGUGGAGACAGUAUCACAGUUUGAGAUGUGUUUCCCCCCAUCGUUCUUUGAUAUGAUGGUGCACCUUGUGGUGCACUUGGUGCCACAGAUAGAGGCAUUAGGUCCCAUGUACU